AAAUUACAAACCUACCCCUAUCGAAACCUAUAGAAAUCUAGCAGAUAGGCUUUGCGUGGCAGGGAUAGGCAGUAGUAAUUUCCAUCUCGCAGAUUUUGGUUUCGGGCGGUUACUGUGACUUUCCCCGCUUCGUUCAAAUUUUGCAGAGUGCACGUUUACCGUGCCAACUCAAUUCGAAUCCUGUUUGUAUUCUAAUUUUUUUUGGGCGGGAUCCAUUUUCAAUUGGAAUUACAUUCUAUAUACAUCAUUUUUUUAUAUAUACUUUCAAAAGCACAACACCAUUUAUACAUAAAUAUGGUUUACAAAUGGCAUGAUCUCAGAUUCAUAAGGUUGUAUCCAUCAAUUUGGAUUUUCAAAUGUUUGAAACCACUUUAUGUUGAAAUCCAAUGUAUGCAUUCCUCGCUAACUGUCUCCGAUUAAUGUGUGUUUCAUGCGGGUUUUUUUACUUCUCAAACAUGUAUAAUGUGUUUCACACACGCAACAUAUAGUGUAAUCCCGUUUAGACAUUAAUUGCAUAUAAACCAUGCAUUGUUUGUAAUUAAAUAAUCUAAGGAUCACCAAUAUUGAUAAACUAUAUAACAUUACACUUGUGCCCAAAUUCAAAUGAAUAUGCAUGUUUGAUUCACCAAUUUGCGUUAUGAUAUUAUCGAUGCCGUGAUCUCCAGUUUAAAUAUUUGAAUCCCCUUUAAUCCAGAUAUUCAUCUCAUAUAGCUAUCACUCAUGCUUAUAUAGGACUAUCUCUCUGGACCUAUACGCGUUCAUCGUCUCUCAGGUAUCUCUCAUGCUACCUGUAUGUCAACAAUGAUCUUUUAUCUUCAUAACACACUAACAGUACUCUCUCCCUAGACCUUCAUCACUCUAUCUCUCUCUAAGUAUAUCUCGCUCCCUGCUAUGUGUCUCUAAAUAUGAUUCUCCAUGUGGAAUCUCUUUCUCUCACACAAACACAAAAAUUUGUCUCCCGGGGUCUCAUUUCUCUGUACUAUCCCCAUGUGUGCCACUCACACACCCCUCAUACAGAGAUGUCUUUCGCUACUUAGAUAUGAGAACCUAUGACUCUUCCUCUUAAAUAUCUCUUUAUCACACACAAACACAAACUCUGUCUCCCAGGGUCUCAUAUUUCUCCAUUGAUCUCUUGUAUGUCGCUCACACACUCUCUCUCCCUAGAGAUAUCUUGCGUUCCCUCAUAUGUCUCUCUAGCUAUCACUCUCGUUGUGAAAUAUCUUUCUCUCUCGCAGACACAAAACUCCGUCUCUCGGGAUCUCAUUUCUCUCUGCUAUCUGUUUGUAUGUGACUAACAUGCACCCUCUCUCUAUCUCUCUCACACCCACACACAUAUGUCAGCCUUCUGAUCCACUCGACUCCUAUCUCUAACACACACUAGCUAGCAUCUUUAUCUUUCUAUUUAUCUGUUUCUCCAUCAACCUUCUUUCUCGCCCUCACUCUUGAUUCCUAUCACGCACACUGCAUAUGUUUCUCUCUACGUGUAGUCAAGUUCCCUCUCACACACAUAUAUAACUUCAUCGUCUGAACCACCCGGCGGUCAUCUCCAACACAGAAAUUAGCGGAUGUCCCUCUAUCUAGCAUCUCCAUCUCUGUAUCUAUCUGUAGUUUCUCGGACAACAUUUUUUUCUCGCACGGAGUCUUGCUUCCUAUCACCCACACUAUAUAUGUCUCUCCAUACAUAUGCAUUUAUAGGUUGAUCUCUUUUGCACAAUCGUUGUGUCUCACUCCCUCUGCUCGCCAUAGAUGCAUGCUCCAGCCCACGCCACUAUCUCUUAAAGACAAAAACACAUGCUCAAUUGUCGGGCCUUCUUCCCUGCAUGCUCACAUGCACGCAUGUUAUCAUACCGAUCCGUCUCUCCCAUGUUGUUGAUCUUAUGACUUAUGUAUUCUUUCUUUUGUCUCGAUCAUGCGCGCGCGCACACACACAUCCCACGUAUACAUGUAUACCUCUCACACAUGCACGUUCAAGGUCUCUAUGCCUCCAUAUGUAGUUAAUUACCUUCAAUCCUAAUGCCACAUCGAAUCGUUCUCCUCUUGUGUGCACAAAACUUCCGCCUGGAUGGGUAAAACACACACUCAUACUUAACAAUCUCCUUCUACCCCCCUCCUCUCACUCUUCCCCUAUAUCCCCGAAACCAAUAAUACCAUCCCUUUGUUUAAUUCCCGCCUACAUGCACCAUCGAUAUAUAGUAUUCUUCCUUGGUGUCUCUCGAACAAACACGUUCUCUCGAUGUCGACUCCUCUCACACGCACACACCGUCUGUUCCCUCUCUACAGACAUUUUCUCUCUCGCACCCCAUCAUUGGUGGCCUCUGCCAUACACAUAACCUCUCUAUGAUGAAGCCAUGCACACUUAAAUUACAUCCGCCAUAGGGGACCCCGCGACACACACACACACACACCCCACACACACACACAUUAAGACUCCAUCUCUCUCUCUCUCUCACACACAGACACACGCACGCACGCACGCACACCCCCACCCCCACACACUAAGACUCCAUCUCUCUCUNNNNNNNNNNNNNNNNNNNNNNNNNNNNNNNNNNNNNNNNNNNNNNNNNNNNNNNNNNNNNNNNNNNNNNNNNNNNNNNNNNNNNNNNNNNNNNNNNNNNNNNNNNNNNNNNNNNNNNNNNNNNNNNNNNNNNNNNNNNNNNNNNNNNNNNNNNNNNNNNNNNNNNNNNNNNNNNNNNNNNNNNNNNNNNNNNNNNNNNNNNNNNNNNNNNNNNNNNNNNNNNNNNNNNNNNNNNNNNNNNNNNNNNNNNNNNNNNNNNNNNNNNNNNNNNNNNNNNNNNNNNNNNNNNNUCUCUCUCUCUCUCUCUCUCACACACACACGCACCACACACUCACUAAGACUCCAUCUCACACACACAUGCUCUAGGCGGAGCAUUUGUUCCUACCACCCUUCAUCCAACCUUACCCGUAUGAUAAACAAUCACCUUAAUUUACUUGCAUAACAUGGAAAAAUUCCACUUUACUUUAGUAGUCAGAACUUAUCAUCUGUACCCUUAUAAAAAAACAAGUUGGCGAUGAUGGUGUGCCUGCCAUCUUGUAAUACAGACCAUAUGAUCUAUAUCUGACGGAUAGAAAGCAAACUAUGAUAAUUUUACAAAAGAUACCCACACCUCUCUCCACAUCCUUAUCCCCCAUAACCUCAUCGCUCAACAAUUAAAAAAGGAAGUCUUUGGAACAAUCUAGCAUGGUGGCCGCUGCCGCCCGCCGGCGCCGUCCAUCCCCAUGCCUCCACCCACUCCGACCACCAGUCACCACCACGCUCCACUCCUCCUCGCCUUAUCUCUCAUUUUUCAUUUUUUUGAUGACAUUCUCGAGAUACUAGUUUUUCGAUAAAAUUCUCGAGAUAUCAUUAGUUUUUACACAUGGGAUUACUCCUGCAUGGGUCAAUCACAACAGGUGCUUUGUAAAAAAUGCAUAUUGAUGUUCCGUGCAAUGCACGAGAAUCUUCCUUGUAAUUAUAUAACAAAAAUCACGAGCAGGAAGUGACAUUUUUUUGACAGACCACGUUAACAUGGCCACGUAAAUCACUAGCUAAAGUAAAUACUAUUAUACUUAUAUCCCGAUGCAAAAGUUGAGUACAUGUCCGAAGAGUAGAGUCGCACACACGCACUCUGUCUCUCAGAAUCUCUCUCACACACACACACCAGUUACGUGACGCCCACUUAAGCAGACACGUAUGUUACAAUUUGUGCACCUGCGGGUACACGUGAUGCUGCCCAUUUAUUUAAGACGGAAGGCAAACCCAAACAGUAGCUGCAUUCAUUCCCCUCCCGCCGCCUCUUCUCUGGUCACCGUCGCCUGGUAGCCAUGGCCCGGUCGAAGGUAACAACAUACGACAUACUCCCGCCGGAGCGGCGCUUUAAUAUGGAAAUUUUAGUGGUCAUGCAUGCAUCUUUUUGUGCUAUCACUCCUAUAUAAGGGUUGACCGGUCGCUUCCCGCGGACGUGCGCGGGCGGUGGAAGAGGAAGGAGAAGGGAAGCGGGCUGUGGAGUAAGGUUUUUUACCACAAUUUCUUAGGAAACUGAGUGCAAUAAUUGAGUAGUUUUGCAAACUACCAGUACUACACCUGAAACGGUUCAAAACCUAUACUCCCUUGCCAGCGCACGCUUCCCGCAUGAAACAGUCAGCGUCGCCCUGGAGCGUCAGUGCCGCUUUAAUGCCAGGCCAGAGCGGAGGCGACCUCUCACUGGCGCCGGCUUUGAAGUGGCGCGACGGCUGAGAGAGCGCCGCUUCCCGGUGCACGCGACUGCUCCGCGUCGAGACUGGCCAUAGGCCCUAUUUGGAUCCAUGGGCUAGAGUUAGUUUGAGCUAGUUGGGGCUCAAAUAGCCCUAAAGUAUCCAAGCAUGAGGGUUUAAAUUGGAGCAAGUUGCACCGAACCCACCAAAAAAAACUAUCCCACCCAAGAGGUGCUAACUGGAGAUAGUUCUCACUGGGACCACUGAAAAAUCACUUCUCUCUCUCCAUCAAGUGCAUUUAUUGUCAAUCUAACCCUGUCACCCAAACACCUCUUUGGCUACAGUUAGUACAGGGUUAGUCAUGAGUUAGUCUAACCUCUAGCUAAGUUAGAGUAUCAAACAGGAGCAGUAUAGGACAUGCAAGUUGCUCAAAGCAUACAGUCAAAUUCGUACGUGAAAGGAUUUUUUUCUUUUUGAAAACGGAACGUGAAAUGAUUUUUUUUAGAAUGCUCUUGGCAUGUCGCUGACAUGUGAUGAGUUAACCGACCUCAAUAGACGGAAAAAACGCCAGCCCGCCGCACUUUGAUAGAGACGAGGAGGGAGAAGCAAUACAGGCUGCUGGAUUAUUAGAGAUAGGUGUCGCACAGAAGCCAAGAAAUAGCCAUGUACUAGUAUGAUGUAACUACACUGGGCUGCCGUGUUUCGUACUCUUCCAGUCCACUGUGGAGAUGAUUGGUUGAUUUUAUAUCGUUGAAUAAUAUUAAAUAUUAUGAGUGCAGACGCUCCACCACACGAGGUUCCUUGCUCCUUCUCGGUCAUCGGGAAUCUAUGUUCUUCCACUCUAUUUUUUUACGUGAGCUUUGUUCAUCCUUUUGCCAACAUGCGGGACAUCUAGCAUCAAGGUGCACGUGUUAUGCAAGGAUCGUUCCAUCUAUAUGAAGAACACGUGGGACUGGAACUACGAGAUGGACAUGUACACAGGAGUGGACGUACGAACCGGAGUAAUGUAGCGCAGUAAGUGAAGUAGAAAGGCACAAAUGGUAUGAACAUGCGUGGCAUAUAGGGUGUGUUUGGUUGCGUUCUCGUCUCAGCAUAGUUGUUCCCUCUUCUUGCAUGCUCAACUCAACACCCCUCUUCAUGCAUGCUCUCUUCAUGCAUGCUUCUAGUGUAUUUGUGCUAAACUAGUGUGGACUCAUGCACCCUUCAUACACUCUACCAAACACCCAAAAGUAGGUCGAGAAGGGAACUCUUGGGCGGCAUUUGUCUCUUACUACAUACUACCACUAAAUGUUGUACGUACAAUGCACGGUGAUGUUAUGGAGUACGUGCCUAAGUACUCUACUACUACUAUAUUAGUUGGAGGCACAUAUUAACUUUUAUAUUUGUUUACUUGUAUGCCCCGAGACCUUCCAACUAGACGUGUCUUUCUCUCCAGGUCGCACUUUGUAUCAUUCAUACCACUAAGUACUACUAUGUGUGGUCUCCGACCCAGAAGUGGAAGACGUGGAGACGCUCUACCACGCUGUUUUUCUUUUACGCUGGGCUCUACCACGUUGUUCAUGUCCCACUCUUUUCGCUGUCGUGUGGGGCAUCCAGCACGUGCCGUGUUUGGCACUCUUCGUCGUAAGAGUUGAAACGCUAGCAUUCAUCAGAAAUAAAAAAUAAUUAUAAAUCAGAGUGAUACUAUUUUUUUGAGAACCAAUCAGCAGUGAUACUAUACCACACGGUUUCCUUGCUCCUCGAUAUCGGAAAGAAUACUUUCGUUCGCCAACAUGUGGGAUGUCGACCAUCCUGGUCCACUUGCCAUGCACGCAGAACUCCAAGGGAGAGUCACCCCGGUCGUUGCACCAUAGUAACAAUGACUAAUGAGCCGUCAAAUCACAGGCCCACUUCCCACUUUGAAGUUGCUCGGACGAAGGAACCAUCAUGACUUCAUUGAAUUCCGCUUCUUGAUGAAAACUACUGUACCAGCAGUACUGCUAGCUACAGUAGUUACUCCAAUAGAGGCCUGCUUUCGUUCAUAGGAUAUGAAUUUUAUAGGAAUAUGAAAAUCAUAGGAAGUGAGAUGACAUGCAUCUCAAUUCCUAUAGAGAAAGAGAUUCCAUUUGAUGCAUAGGAUAUGAUUUUUUCCAUUUAGUCUAGGCUAAUGUACUGGUAAUUUGCUCUAAAAACUACAGUAGUAACUAGUAGUACUGGUACAUGCUCGUACUCAGACAUAGACACACACACACACUAACUACUAGUACUACUACUUCUCACAUGCUGGCCAGACGCUGUCGUUCUGCUUCACGGCUUUGUCAGCGACACCCCAUCAUGCUUGGAUCUCCGCCGACCUCUCCGCAGCAGCGCGUGCGUCCUUUUCUUUCUUGCGGUGGUGGGCCUCUCUUUUCUUGAAUGCUUUCUGACUUUUCCGCUCCCUCUAUGCGGCUUUGGCCGCCUCUUGCUCUACCGCCCAUUCGGCCUUCGCAUCUUCAAAUUCCUCCCACAUAGUUGUGAGGUCGCGAGCGGCGAUUAACUCGGCACGGCGGGAUGCCAUCGCUUCCCUACCAUUUUGUGUGCGGUCGUGGGCGGCCAGGAACUCGGCGCGGCGGGAUGCCAUCGCUGCCUUACUGGUUAGUGUGCAGCGCGGUGGCAUGAACGACGCUUGGUGAGAGCUCUGGGGUGGAGUGGCCAGACAACCAUAUAGUGCAUUGGUUUCUCAAGAGCUCAAGGAUAGAAGAUGAAGGAAAUUUGGAUUCCUCUUCAAUCCUGGUCAUUUAUUACAGAGUAAAAUGCAUUGGCGGUCAUCGAACUUGUCUUGAUAGCUCACUUUGAUCAUUGUAUACGAGAUAUGGUGAUAACACGGUCACUGGCUCAGCGUAUAGCUCCGUAUUUGUCUGGUUGACCAGUUAAACAGUCCGCAUGCGCCUCAUCAGCUCGUGUUCCUUAUUUAUCUACGCAUGCCUACCUGUCAAUGGAGAAAGAAAUACUGUGAAAACCAAAAUUAUGCGUAUGUGGGGAAUCAAACCACGGACUCGUCGCUGCAACGCACCCUCGUCAGCCAAAUGAAAAUGAAAUACUUCGCGUCAGACACUCAUGCUCACGCUGUCAAAGCAUGCUAAUGCAUGCACGUCGCCCUCUAAAUCAAAGUCCUGCUCAUGGCACAAUGCAAACGGCAAGCCCAUCACCUGCACGCACCGGCGGUGCCUGGCAUUACUAUUUAGACGUUUGAUGGAGGCCUACGUGAACGCUGAGCAUGUAUUCACCUGACUCAACACCAACGGUCAUACUCGGAGCGCCUUGCUCAUGUAUAUCGUCCAUCACAACGACAAUCUAUAAAAUAGCCUAGCUAGAGAGGGUACUAUGGUAGUAUGGUACGAAGUAUGUACUAUCGUGAGCGACCGAUCUUAGUGCCACCGCACACCGAAACCCCUUCCAUCGCUAGCGCGCGCUUCCCGCCUGAAACGGUCACCGUCUCUCCAGAACGUCAAUGCCGCAUUCACCGGACUUAACUGCAGGUGCAAUUGGUGUGUCACUGACAUGCGGGCCAGAUGCCCGUUGGGCCCACUUGUCAGUAACCCAAUGCAUCUGUAGUUAAGUCACUGAAGCAGCGUCCGCAUUCACGCCCGACGAACCUACUCCGGUGCCAGUUGUCCAUCCGUCUAUCGUGGCUCAUUAUCAUUCGCCCGCUAUAUUAACUUGAGCCCCAGCUCCCAGCCAUAGCCAAAGACCCACACUUAUUCUCCUGCGGGCCCUUCCUUAUGUCCGCACCACUCCAACCAUGGCCUCCUGGCGCUCUGAAGCUCUCUUGGACGUACUGUCGCAGAAGUAGACGAGGGACAUCGGCGGCUCCACUCCGGGUGCGCUCCAAAGCUCUCUUCGACGUACUGUCACAGGGGCAAACGAAGGAGAUGGCCGGCACCCCCCGGCCACCCUCCGCCACCACGACCACGAAGCCGGCGCGCGUGCGCGGGCGCAGCCGGCAGCGAGGAAGAGUAGUACACGGUAGGUCGCCGCCACUCUGGUCCCAGGAAGGCCACCGCUACUCCACUCAGUCGACGCCAAGCUUGGUGGGGUAAACAUCGACGGGCGAUUAGCCGCUUGACGGUGACGUGGAGGCGGAAAUCUUCAGAACUUUGUGCUCCGAAGGAGGAGGUUAUCGAGGUGGAUGAGGAGGAGUCAAAGGCAAUGGCCGGCUUUCUCGGGUUCAUGGCCUGACAUGGUGGUCGUGCACCGGCGAUCGUUUAGAUUAGGUUUUAGUACGGUUUGUGCGAAAUAUGUAAUGAAUUUCGUCCAGUUUGUAGGAAAAGUUUUUGAAAUGUAAUGAAUUUCAUCCGGUUAAUUUGAAAUUUGCUUUGUUUGCACGAAUUUCGUCCGGUUAGUUCAUAUAGUUGUCGAAAGGUACGCGUGCAGCAUCGGAUGGCAUCCAUCAGUGUCCUCGGACAGAUGCUGGUGUAAAUUUGUGGGCCAGCGCUGGAGAUGCCCUAACUAUCAUGCUAUAAUCGCUAACAGUCCUCCAUUAUUUGGUAGAGAACAGUUAUCCCUCGAUCAAAAUCAGAUCCGAGGUGUUUCGCACUCCUCCCACGUAAGAGUGUAAACUCUUUCUUACAUAAAAAUGGAGCAAGUCAUAUCACUCGAACUAGCCGACCUAACAAGGGGGAAAGCACCACCCUCGUCAUUUUGUUCUGGAUUUCUAUCGAUCGCUCGCGCGAAAAUGUUACGCUUCGCAAGUUCUAUAGGAAAAGGCUGCACACUUAUGAGUCGUACGUGUCGCACCCCCGAUAGUCUGGCUCGCACGCCACUCACCAGAGGAGACACACGUUGUCUUGCAAUUUCACUGACAUGUGGGACUGUAAUUGAAUAAACCGUCGAUAGGCGAAAUCUAUUCGCUCGACGGGCAUCGGCUGAGAUGAGAGAAACGGGGGAGGGAGAAGAGAUCGCCCGCCCGCCGCGCACGGACUCCAAGAAAUAUAUGGUGAUAAUGUGAGGUGGGCCAUGCUGGAGUCCGGACCGCUUCGGGAGCCCGCUCUGAUCGCCCUGGCCCCUCAAGACGCCAGCUGCCCGCUGCAUGCAUAGCAAGUAGUCCCCGCUUAUGUGGAGGAGAGAGAGGCAUUGGCAAAGUCAAGAGUAACAGUGGAGACAAUAGCUUUCAUAAAAAAAACAAUGAAUACUCGUUGCUCGUCCUCUAUAUCGGAAAGAAUACUUUCAUUCGCCGACAUUUGGGACACCGACCAUCCCGGUCCACCUGCCAUGCACAAAUUAUCUUGGUCUACCCUGGUCGUAUCGCAGGCCCAACCUUUCCCACUGUAAGUUGUUCCGACGAAGGAACCAUCAUGACUUCGUUGAACUCCACUUCUUCAAGAAAACUUGCUGUAUCAGCAAUACUGCUACCACACGGGAAGACUGGAUGACACUGUACCAUGUCAUAUCACUGAAACCCACUAGGCCAAACUAGCCCGCCUAGGUCAUCUAUUUUGGAACGGAGGGAGUACGUCUCUGCACUGCUAUGAUUUUGUGUCGUACGUCUCUGUACUUUUGCUACGAUUUUCCUACCCUAUGAACCAAAUGAGGCAUGAAUGUAUCCGUGUCGACUAUUGUCUAAUCGAUCGCUAAGCCUACAAUUUUAGGAGCUAGGGCUAUUGGUCGAUCGACGACGGAUAAGUAUAAGCGUACCACGAGCUCAUCAGCCCCAACGAUUCUCUUCGGUGAGUGUUUUGCAAGUACUAUAUCUCGCACAGUAGCUAGCCUACUAGCACCAAGAAUCAUCAAACAAGCCCUGCUGAUAUAAUAAACAGUUCAAACUUACAUCUAAGCAUGCCAUAUAUUACAUCAAAAGCCGGCGAGGAUACAUCCGUUUCCAUGGUUCGCAUGAUUCACUAUCAAAAAAAAGUAGCAAGUACUGCCCACACAAGAUAGUGCACUAGCCCUAAGAUGGUUUGAUAACACGCAUUGUUCUGGUAAUUAAACAUAGGGCAAUGCAAACUACCCUGAAGGAUUAGCGCGACCAACUAUUUCUUGUCAUCGAUCUCUCGGGUAAUGACCACAACACGGACAACGACAUUGGAAUCGAUCUCUGGGGUGAUGUCCACAGGACUGACCGCGACAUCAGAAUCAAUCUCUGGGGCGAUGUCCACAGGAUGGACAGCGGCAUCGGAAUCGAUCUCCGGGGCGAUGCUAACAGGACGGGCCGCGACAUCGGAAUCAUCAAGGACGUCCACCGGCACCUGCACAACCCUAACAUAUUAGCAAGCACAUUGCAAAUAAUCAAAAACCACAACUAUGGUAAUAAGCCAUUAUUUUUGACCUUGUGCAGCUCACCGGGGGAUCUCAUCCCUCCGGGAGCUAUCUCCUCGUCCUUGAUAGGGGCCAUCACCUUGCCAGGGGAAUACUGCUUCUCAACAGCGACUAUCUCCUCAAACUCGACCUUGAGCCUCGCAUAGGUGGCCAUCAGAGUUCCUGGGGCAGGGACGGCGGGGCCCAUGAUGUUCUUCCAACUUUCUUUGAGGAGUUCGUCCGCCAACGUCGUCAACUCUUUGACCAGUGCUUGUUUCUUGGAGUUCUUCAUCUCCAUGGGUUGGCCCGCCAACAUGGUCAACUCAUUGAUCGGUGCUCGCUUCCUGGAGAUCGCUGUCUCCAGUGGGUUGUCCGCCAGCAACUCUUUGCCUAGUGCUCCAGGAUCCAUCAAUGAACUGGCAAACAAAAAGCAAUCAAAAGGAAACCACAAUCGCAAUGAAAACGGGAAAAGAAUAGGAUGUCAGAAUCGGUCGGUGCUUCACAAAAAGAAGAUUCUUGGAAUGAAAAUAUAGCAGCAUAACUGAUUCUCCCACCUUUCCUUCGUUGGUACAGAAGAAAAAUGGCGGAAGUGAGUAGCAUGGAGUGAGUUUUUCUUCAAGAAAGGGAAGAAAGGGCUUGAACGAGUGUUCCAGUCAAAUGAUGGUUGCUUCGUCCAGUCCAACUUGGAGGCCACCUUACCACUGCUGGUAAAGGUGUGGGUUUUGUCAUAUGACGGGUCAUGAUGGCCACAUCGGGGUGACGGGUGAGUCUCGACUGUAGUACCUCGCUGUGAUUUGCUGGAUGGCACGCGGGCCCGGAUGCUUUGAAAUGUCCCGCAUGUAGAUAGAGCAGCUAGUCAUAUAGGAGUGCUCAAUACUUGUGCACCGUGACCAAGGCGGAGAGGAAAAUGAGAGAACUACAUAAUUAAUGCAUGAGUUUAAUUAGGGUAGUUUUGUAAAGUACGAGAUACAUUCCUCCAAUCGCAAAAUGCCUUGGUUCAUGAGAUUUGAGAUUUGAGCCCUAUAAACCAGAAGGGAGGGAGUACUGCAUGCGGUGUAGUCUAGUCACUUGUUGAAAUCUCUAGAAAGGCAAAUACUACUUUCCGGUUUGUAGGGCUAUACUACUCCCUCCGUCUAGGUGUGUAAGACUAGCCACAAUGGUGAGUAACAUACACUAGUAACAUACACAUAUCCCUAGACUUUGUUACUGCUUCAUAGUGCAUACAUAAGUGUGGUAACAUGCAAAGCUUCAUUUAUUAGGUUAUAGACUCAUAUUGCAUUGGGGCAUGUGAUGUUACAGUAAUUAGCUAAGUUACUAUAACUACCUCUCUCCUAAUUAACUCAUUGCCACAUAAGCAAAUUUGCUGAGUUGGACUCGAUGUUACUGCUGAAGUUACUCCCACUGUGGCUAGUCUAAGUCAUCUUACGAAAACCAAAGUCCCAAAACACUUAGGCGCGGUGCAUUAACUUCUACCUUGUUUCUUGUUUCUUGACAUAUCAACCAAUAAGAGAUGAGAGGUGUGCAUGCUUUUAAUGACUUGCAGUGGCUAGUUCAUUGCAUGCAAUGCUAUUAAUUAGCAAAUAAACAUUGGUGACCCUAGAAGGAAAUGGUGCUAAGCGCGUGGACCUAUGCAGAAUGAGUAUCAACCGAUGGAUGAUGGAGUUUAAUUGUUAAACAAUUCAAUGAGGGAAGCUUAGCUACAAAUUCAACGACUUACUCACCUAGACGGAGGGAGAAGCAAGUACUAGCACUACAAUAGUGGGCUCAAAUAGCAAUUUUGUCUCAUCCAAGGCACCGCACCAUGCGAGCGUUCGCAACUGCCACGUUCGGGUUGCGCUUGGCUCUUUGCCUCUUCGAGAAGACGAACAAUGAUGUUACUCCUACUUCUACAGUAUCGAAUCCACUACUGCAUGUUCGUCCACCUCGUGCGGGAGGGAUAGCGUGUAGCGAAAGCUUCUACUUACUGCUCCUGCCUUUGCGUCUUUGACAGGUGGGCCCAACAGGUGGUUGGCCCUCCUGUCAUGCAGCUAAAGGCAGGUGCAGUUAAGGCACUGGAGCUCUGUCCGCGAGGGAGAGGGCGUUGUAGUAAUCAAAUUUCUCGGUCUUGUACGAGUUGACGCGACACAUUAAAGGACUGCACUCAAUAUAAGUCUUUUUACACAUUUCAAAUGGACUACAACAAACAGAUGUAGACUUAUUCUGCUUCGUAUGUAGUCACUUGUUGCAAUCUCUAAAAAGACUUAUAUUUGGAAACGGAGGGAGUACAACGCAUGCAUGCAUGCCGUGAUUUUCACUUUGAUACUUGCAUGUGUUCAUUUGAUGCACCUUGCCAAAUUUUGACUAUAAUUUAACUAACCAAAUUUUCAUGCAUGUCACAAAAAAUUACGGGGCUGUUUGGAUUGUGACUAUGUUUGUCUUAUGUUGCCACAUUAUUUUUCCCACACUUGCCACACUUGCCUCACUUGAGUUGCUCAAAUUGUUAGACACACUUUGGCUUGCCUAAGGGAAUCUUGCCACAAUUUUUGUGUCUAUGACAUGUGGGGUUCACUGCUAAUAAAAAAAUUCUUGUCUUAGGUGUGGCUAAUAAAAAAGACUUAUAUUUAGGAAUGGAGGGAGUAGAAAAUAUAAAUAAUAAUUCAUGUUGGGGCAACCCACGUUUUCGCUAAUUUUAGCCAUGGGCUUGUUCACAAUUUUUACGAGGGGGUGGUUGUUCAUUUAAUGGAGGGACUUGUAGUAUACCAGACUUGAACAAUACAAAGUGUGACUUGGCACACCGUAACACCACUUGGAACAAGCGGGUAGCUAUCUCAAAAAACAAUCAACAACUAAAAAAAACCGCGACCUGGCAUGUAGUAGUACACAAUUUUAAACGAUUGUUUUGAUGGAGUGAAAAAGGAAAACUACGACACUACAUAUAUAUAGGCCGGAGCGUCUGCGCUUGCUUGCUACGGUUGCUCUAUUCACACACUCUCAUCCUCUCCAGAUCUAAACAAGAUAGGGGUAGUAACAUUGUCUUUCUCCCUUCAAAAAACACUGUCUUUCUAUCCUCACCGUUGGUUACAAAUCCGGACGUAUCCCCUCCGCUGGUGAAGGGGAGGAGGGGCAGCGUUUAGGCCGUCGUCGACAGUGAGGGAGGAGACCCACUGCCGGUCGCACCAUUAUCUCUGGCCGAGCGCCGGCGUGGGAGGUCCCCCGAUCCCUUCGUCAUUGCCUGUGGGCGGAUCCGGCCUCCCGCCGCCCACCUAUCCACAUCCCGACGACCUUCAGGUAUAUCUUCAUUCGAAACCGCCUUAGCUAUACUUCCCCAGCUCGCUACGUCGCUGCAUGUGCAUCAUUUUCUACCUCUCAGCCCCUCUCGAUCGGAUGGUCCAACAUCACCUACUAUUUUUUUCUUCUAUUGUUAGAGGUAAAGCUACUUCAUGGAGUCGAAUCUUGUACUCCCUCCGUCCGAAAAUACUUGUCAUUGAAAUGGAUGUAUCUAGAUGUAUUUUAGUUCUAGACACAUCCAUUUUGAUGACAAGUAAUUCCGGACGGAGGGAGUACUUGGUUCAAACAAGAAAUAAAGUGGGGGUGGGGGAAUUUAGUAUGUACAUCGGACUUGGUACAAGCAGGAAGGAAAGGGGAUGAAGGUAGUACAGACUAGUCAUCCAACCGGUAUCUUGGUUGAAAAGGGAAAUAUAGGGGUAACGUUGUACACAGUGGUAUGACCAGGACUAGAUUUGCUAUCCACACAUAGGAGUAGGUGGCUAGAGUGAACAAAAAUGGGACCAACCCAGAUAUGUUUCUUGGAUGUUUGUUUCUCGGGGGAACAAACUAUGAAUCACCACUUUAUGCCCCUGUUUACGUAUAUGGUGCUGGACUGCUAGUGCACCCACUGUCCCAUGCCCUUAUACCAAAUAUUUAGCUGUUCUUAAUCUAAUGUCCCUGGUAAAAAUGAAGCCAUGCCACUAUUAUAAGCCAUGACAAGUUUAGCCAAAUGUUUUUGCCUGUAAUUGUUUGAGACUCUAAUUGUUUCCUCUAUACCUUUUUGUGCAAAUAGGGAUAUCCAAUUCACCUGGUUGCUUGUGACCUUUUGGUGCACUGCACAAAACUCUUCUUAAAAGAAGUGACUUUUGUGCUGUUUAACUGGAAUGUCAGAAUGGAACAGUUGGUUCAUUUCGGUGGAACUGCACAAAGGGAGAUUUGUGUUCCAAUCCUCAUCAUCCAUAUUGGUGUCAUAACCUUCCUUUAGGUAAGAGUGAUAUUUAAUGCAUGUGUUCAUCUCUAUUUUCUGACUGCCAUGAGAAAAUAAUGCUAUUUUUUACUAGUACACUUGUACUCCCUCACUGACAAAACCAAUUCUGAACUAAAGGCCAAUCAUGUACUUGGUUUCACCAACUGGUGAGGAGAAAGAGAAACAGAGCAUGAAGAGGAGGAAGAAGAAGAAUAAACAGUGCCAAGGCGAUCUUGCUGAAGCCAGAGGCCUCAGUCGAGGCCAUUGUAGGGCUUUGGCAACGACUACCUUACAUGUGAGACGAUCCUCCAGGGAGCCCUUCCACUUCUGCUGUCUCACUUAAUUAAUUAGGAGUACUUAAGUACCACUAAUUUAUUGCUGCCUAAUUUCCUGUCGGAGUUAAACAAAUCUUUAGUAGGACCUUAUGCUGAAUCAUGUACUCCCUCCGUCCAGAAAUAUUUGUCAUCAAAAUGAAUAAAAGGGGAUGUAUUUAGAUGUAUUUUAGUUUUUGAUACAUCCUUUUUUGUCCAUUUUGAUGACAAGUAUUUUCGGGCGGAGGGAGUACGUGUGUAUGUUUGUCUAUGGAGGUGAAUCAUGUGGUGGAGUAGGGAUGGAAUAUUAUUAGUGUCAUGACAUAAUAGUGCUAUUGUUUUGCAUGUCAAUUUAUUGCCAUUGGUUCAAUGAGGCAAUGUUUUGCGUAUUGUCCAUCAUGAAUUUGAUGCUACUAUUUUAGUAAUAUGCUAAUGUCUUCCUAUCCUUUCUCACCACUGGCGGAGCUAUGUGUAUGGCUGGGGGGGGGCUAUGGCCCCCCAAGCCUGGGAUCUUCUGUGAAGAUUUUUUGUGUGAUGGCAUACAUUGGGAAAAAUAGGGAGUUUUGCCUCUUCAUAAACCCAUAUUUUGACAUUGGCCCCCCCAAUGAUCCUAUGCUAGAUCUGCCACUAUUUCUCACUAAGCUAAUGAAGGUUUCACCUUGUUCCUACUUGUGAAAACAGGGAUCAUGUUGUGCCAAUCAUACAUUUUAGUGGAACUACACAAGACAAUACAAUGAACUGUAUCCCAGCCAGUGCUUUAACUAUGCUGGAAGUUCUUGAUAAUCUUUUGAUAUAAUCUCAGCACUGGUAAACAAGAGUGAUUUCAACCAUACAUUUGAAGUGCACAAAAAUAUAUACUAUUGUGUGAUUCCAUGAGUGCUUUAUCAUCUCUUAUGGGACUACAUGAAUAAGCUUUUUUUCUCAGGUUGGUACGGGCCUAAGGCCUUUGAGGGAGUCCUGGAUUAGGGGGUGUGCGGAUGGCCGGACUCCCGGACUAUGAACGUACAAGAUUGAAGACUUCGUCCCGUGUCCGGUUAGGACUUUCCUUGGCGUGGAAGGCAAGCUUGGCAAUAUGAUAUGAAGAUCUCCUCCCAUUGUAACCGACUCUGUGUAACCCUAGCCCUCUCCGGUGUCUAUAUAAACCAGAGAGUUUUAGUCCGUAGGACGAACAACAAUCAUACCAUAGGCUAGCUUCUAGGGUUUAGCCUCUUUGAUCUCAUGGUAGAUCCACUCUUGUACUACCCAUAUCAUCAAUAUUAAUCAAGCAUGAGUAGGGUUUUACCUCCAUCGAGAGGGCCCGAACCUAGGUAAAAACAUCGUGUCCCUCGUCUCCUGUUACCAUACGCCUAGACGCACAGUUCGGGACCCCCUACCCAAGAUCUGCCGGUUUUGACACCGACAUUGCUGCUUUCAUUGAGAGUUCCUCUAUGUCGUCACCCUUGGGCCCGAUGGCUUCUUCGAUCAUCAACCACGACGCGGUCCAGGGUGAGACUUUUCUCCCCGGACAGAUCUUCGUAUUCGGCGGCUUCGCACUGCGGCCAAUUCGCUUGGCCAUCUGGAGCAGAUCGAAAGCUACGCCCCUGGCCAUCAGGUCAGGUUUGGAAGCCUAAACUACACGGCCGACAUCCGUGGGGACUUGAUCUUCAACGGAUUCGAGCCACAGCCGAGCACGCCGCACUUCACGAUGGGCAUGAUCUAGCUCUGCCCCCGGACAGCGCCCCGAGCGCCGCUCAGGUGCCCGCUCCGACCAUUAGCUCGGAGCCGACUUCGCCAGUCGGGGAUAGUCGGUUGGAUGCCGCCCCAGGAGCCGCAAUCUCUACGGCGAUAGAGCCGAAUACCAGCCUAGUCCUUUGCAAGGCCCGUGACUCCAAGGUACCGGACUCCGUUCCGGACUUCGAAUCUUCCGCACCCCUUCUGAUCGAACCCGAUUGGUAUCCGAUCAUGGAGUUCACCGCGGCGGACGUCUUUCAGCACUCGCCCUUUGGCGAUAUCCUGAAUUCACUAAAGUCUCUCUCUUUGUCAGGAGAGCCCUAGCCGGACUAUGGUCAGCAUGGUUGGGAUGCGGACGACAAAGAAAUUCGAAACCCACCCACCACCCACUUUGUAGCCACUGUCGACAAUCUAACCGACAUGCUCGACUUUGACUGCGAAGACAUCGACGGUAUGGACGCCGAUGAAGGAGACGACCAAGAACCAGCACCUAUAGGGCACUGGAAGGCAACCUCGUCAUAUGGCAUAUACAUGGUGGACACCCCCAAAGCAGGGGAUGGUGAUGAAAAAACGGAGGACAACCCCUCCAAGAAGCAACCCAAGCGCCGACGUCAGCGGCGUCGCUCUAAAUCCCGCCAAAGCAAGAACGGCGAAUCUGGCACCGGAGACAUCAACACCCCGGACAGUGCCGAAGACAACCCCCUCCAGCAGGAUUCAGCGCAGGAGGACGCAGGAGCCAACCCUCAUGAGUGAGCGGCAGACAAAGAGGUCGAGGACAACAAUUAUAUGCCUCCCUCCGAAGACGAGGCAAGCCUCGAUGACGACGAAUUCGUCGUGCCAGAGGAUCCUGUCGAACAAGAGCGUUUCAAACGUAGGCUUAUGGCCACGGCAAGAAGCCUCAAGAAAACAUAGCAGCAGCUUAGAGCUGACCAAGACUUGCUAGCCGACAGAUGGACUGAAGUCCUGGCGGCCGAAGAAUAUAAACUCGAACGACCCUCCAAGAGUUACCCAAAGCGCAGGCUGCUACCCCAACUAGAGGAGGAAGCAACUAAACCUACAUCACCAGCGUAUGAUGCGCCCGAUCGGCCACCCCGUGGCCGCGACAGAGAGGCUCUUCGACCCUCAAUCCAAGCCGCACCCCGGCGCCGCUCUAAGAAUACCAGAGCUCGGGGAAACGCAACAGACCUGCGAGACAUAUUGGAGGAUAAGGCAAAGCAAACAAGAUCGAUCUAUGGAUCGCGUGGGCACCCCACAUCACGUGACAAUAACCGUCACGCCGGAUAUGAUAAAUGCCUCUCAAGGCAAUUCUCCAAUCCGGGUGUUAAACGUCCGGACAACGUCAAGCGAGCCCGAAGUAACCUAUAACAAAACCGGCUGGCACGUUCCGAGCAAGCAUAGCAGUGCGUCCCCAACCCCAGCCCUCGCCAGAUGGCGAUAUCGGUACCACGCAUACAUAAUUACGGUUUGGAAAUACCAUGGGCAUAAGGGGAGGGCCACAACCACGACACGCCCAGAAUGCGGCUCAACUGCACUUAGGGGCUCCCUAUUCUGCCAUUUCUUUUUUUAUAUACUUUUAGGACCCAACUAUUCGGAAGGCCUGUCCGGCAAUACACUCGCCGAACACACGAUGCAACAGCCAGGGAGAGAACAAGCCGCGUCAAAUGUCCAGGUGGUCUCCAUAACGAGCUAAAUACCUGUUUUACUUGAAGCCCCGCAGCUUGCCCCUGGAGGGGGACAUGUCAAAUAAUCCCAUCUCUUGCUUAUCGCACUAUUUGUAUCGUUCUGCUUUCAUAGCAGCCCUUUUUUAAUAAACAAUACAUAGCUCUUAUCUAUUAUUGUAUUCAUCUAUUUUUUUACAAAUAUGUUCAGUCAUGAAAUUAUGCAACUGUACACUUUGGUAGGGCCAAUACACAGGGGCUUAAGCACCCCAUAACAUGGUGUGAGAAGACCGAACACUCUCAUGAAUGCGGCACCCCGAACUUAUAGCACUAUAUGCAUCGGCUCCGAAUCAUGUCUUGGGUCAAUAGUUGGGUUUGCCCGGCUCCCAUGUUUUGGUACCUUAUGUUCCGCAAUGUUGGCUAAGGUAGCGCUGGGAGAACUACUGCGAUUGUGCCCCAGUUGAGCUGGGUUAACACCUCAAUAGAGAAAGCUAAAACUGACCGUCAUGAUAGUGCGAGAGACCGAUCGCUGUUCACGAGGUUUUUCAAGUCCUUAAAGACUUAUGCCGCUUAGAGCGAGGAGCCGGACUUAUCCGGCCUAGGCGUGGAUAGCGCCCCGAACUCGGUCUUCCGAAUACUAGGGGCUUCGCCAAAAUUUAAAAUUAUAGAAUUCUAUGGCUAAGUGAGAGUGAUAAAGCAUUAUAAGUCCGAUGUCCUGGUUCGUUGUGCUGAGCGCCUCCCUAGAUGGACCCAAGAAUGGGAACAAGAGCGCUCAGGUUUAUCCCGAACACCCCAACACUCGUGACAUGGGGGUAGAAGCCGACGACUUGCAUCUCUCAGAUUUGAUAAACGGCGGCACAGAAGGUAAUAUUUUAAAUUAACAAGCGUUGCUUAACGCAUAUGAACAAAGUUUUUAGCGUACAGGAUAACAGAUGUGAGUCUACUCAAAAAUUACAUCUUUGGAGCAUUCACCCGCUAUAAGGCGGGCACCCUUCAGAACGCCCUUAUAAUACAUCUCAGGCGUGCGAUACUCCUUGCCCGGCAGUGGCGCGUCCGUCAAAAGCUUCUCAGCGUCCAGCUUUCCCUAGUGCACUUUAGCACGGGAAAGGGCCCGACGGGCACCUUCAAUACAGACAGAGCGCUUGAUGACUUCAAUCCAUGGACAAGCAUCCACCAGCCGCCGCACCAGACCAAAGUAACUCCCAGGCAUGGCUUCUCUAGGCCACAGCCGAACUAUGAGCCCCUUCAUGGCCUGUUCGGCAACCUUGUGGGGCUCGACCAGCUGCUUCAGCUGGUCGCUUAGGGGCACCGGAUGUCCGGCCUCAGCAUAUUGAGACCAGAACACCUUUUUCGUCGAGCUCCUCUCCUCGGCUCGGUAGAACGCGGAAGCAUCAGACACACUACGGGGUAGAUCGGUGAACGCUCCUGGAGAGCUCUGGAUUCGGGUAAGUAACAGAUAAUUUACUUUUAUAUUCUUGCGUUGCAUAAAUAAUUCCUUACCUGCCGCUACUUUCUUCAUCGCCUCGAUCUUCUGGAGGGCCUUCUGGGCUUCGGCCUUAGCGGUUUUGGCACUCUCAAGAGCCAAGGCGAGUUUAGACUCUCGAGUCUUUGAGUCACGCUCCAAACUCUCGUGUUUUUCCACGAGAGCCUGGAGCUCUUGAAGCACCUCCGCCAACCGCGCCUCCUGCUUCUCUCGCUCGGUGUGCUCCAAGGCCGCAUUGUUUUCGUCCUGGGACACCGCUUCCUUGAGGGUCACCGGCCCCUGCAACAUUUACGUUGGUCCUGUCAUUAUUUGCAACCAAGUAUUUCUAUAUACAUUUACAUGCGUUAUUACAUACCCUCCCUGUCCUCGAGCUGCUUCUUGGCAUGGCUGAGCUCGUUCUCGGACCGCUCGAGGCUCUCCUUCAAUGCAUUGACCUCUGCAGUCAGUGCGGUAGAGUUCAGCAGCGCAGCCUGCAUUCCCAUAUUGACAUAUUUAUGUUAGACUCCUGCGUAUAUCUUUUUAUAUCCUCAGCUCGGCUUUUCUUUCCGAACACCAAACUGAGCAUCAUGGGCUACUGUCUAUGCGGUAACAUUUUUAUAUGUUUUGAAUACUUACCUCAAAGCCUGUUAGAAGGCUCGUACAAGCUUCGGUCAGCCCGCUCUUGGCGGACUGAACCUUUUGAAUCACCGCACUCAUAAUAGUGCGGUGCUCCUCGUCGAUGGAGGCGCCGUUAAGCGCCUCCAGCAAAUCGUCCGGUGCCUCCGGUUGGACGGAAGCCGCCGGCGUAGUAGGCGUGCCCUUCUUGCGAAGGCGCUGCCUACCGGUCUCUGGAACCGUUGAUGGUUCCGGUGCAGUGUCCGGCCCAGGGCCGGACUUAGAUCCCUCCGGGGCUUUACCCUCGUUGGGCCUGGAGUCUAGGAGGUCACCUUGCGGAACCUCCAGGACCACCUCCUCCUGGUUUAGUCCCUUUCGGGACUCCACCUUAGCGUCGUCCGUAGGGAGAGGGGAGGAGGCCGUCGGAAGUGAAGCACUAUUCACAUCCGACGAAUCCAAGGAGCCACUCGUCGAAUCACCGAGCUGAGCCAUGGGCGGACUGCAUGAUCAAAUUCGGCGUUAGAAAAUACCGAGCAAUAGAGGAGCGCCAUAAGUUAUUCGGAUAUCCGAAUGCUUAUGAUUUUGCCAGGGGCUUGACCCUGGUGGCCAUUCCUCCCCGCCGUCUUCGGCAUCGGAGGUGUAGUCCGGCAGGAGGGUUCUCCCCUUCUUGGACCCUCCGCCCCCAGUUGGGGCGGCCUUCCUUUUCUUUCCUCCCCCCGCUGGAGGGGGAGAGGCUUCUUCUUCUUCCUCCUCCUCGUCCUCAGAGGCGGAGGGUGCUUCGGGGUUGUCAGGCGAUGAAUCCGACACCACUAGGCGCCGGGAACUCUUUCGAGUCCCCGUGACCUUCUUCUUGGCCUUCUUCUCCGGCACCACGUGAGGUGCCGGAACCAGCAGCUUCGUCAAGCGAGUGUCUGCUGGGUCUUCGGGCAAAGGAGCCGGACAGUUGAUCUGUCCGGCCUUCUUCUACCAGUCCUGUUAAAGGGAUGGGGUUUUAGAUCCCGCAUAGAAUCAAAUAUAUGGAAAACACAUACCCCGUAAUGGGAAAAUUAAGCUCACCGCGCUGGCUUGGCGCUUGGCGCAGAAUCCGCGAUCCUCGGUGACGGGAGGGGAGACCUCGGAGAUCUUGAAUAGCACGUUCCAGGCAUCCUCGUGCUUUGUGUCGAAGAGCCGGGACAGAGUCUGGUGCUGGGCUGGGUCGAACUUCCACAAGUUGAAAGCUCGUCGUUGAGACGGGAGAAUCCGGCGGAAGAGCAUGACCUGGACUACGAUGACAAGUUUAACCUUCUGCCGAUCAGGUCUUUGAUGCAGGUUUGAAGUCCGGUCACUUCUGCUGAAUUACUCCACAACAGGCCCGUCUCUUUCCAGGAUGUGAGCCGUGUGGGGAUGCCAGAUCAGAAUUCGGGGGCCACUGCCCAUUCAGGAUCACGUGACUCGGUGAUAUAGAACCACCCCGAUUGCCACCCCUUGAUGGUCUCUACGAAGGCGCCCUCGAGCCAUGUAAGGUUGGCUAUCUUGCCCACCAUGGCGCCUCCGCACUCCGCUUGGUAGCCGCCCACGACCUUCGGCUUGACGCUGAAGAUCUUCUGCCAUAGGCCAAAGUGAGGCUGGAUGCGGAGGAAGGCCUCGCACACGACGAUGAACACCGAGAUGUUGAGGAUGAAGUUCGGGGCCAAAUCGUGGAAAUCUAGGCCGUAUUAGAACAUGAGCCCUCGGACGAACGGGUGGAGAGGAAAGCCCAGUCCGCGGAGGAAAUGGGGGAGAAAUACAACCCUCUCAUGGGGCCUAGGGGUGGGGAUGAGUUGCCCCUCAUCUGGAAGCCGGUGCGCGAUGUCGUUAGACAAGUAUCCGGCCUUCCUCAACUUUUUGAUUUGUCCCGCCGUGACGGAGGAGGCCAUCCAUCUACCUCCCACUCUGGACAUGAUUGGAGAAGGUUGAGGUAGGAAUUGCAGACUUGGGUGCUGGAGCUCGAGUGCGCAGGUAUGGAUAAGCAAAGGAGGAAGAAGGCGUAAAUGGAAAGGGUAGAUCCUUAUCCCCUUAUAUGGGCGGCUGGAGCUACAAACCCCCACCAGUCUAAUAAAACUCGCUUAUCUCCCAAGCGUCGCGAUUAAUGGUGCGGUUGGGUUACCCACGCCCGUAUUGAUGAGAAUCCCGGAAUAAGGGGGUGUCGGGAUGGCCGGACUAUGACCUUUGGCCGGACUCCCGGACUAUGAAGAUACAAGAUUGAAGACUUCGUCCUGUGUCCGGAUAGGACUUUCCUUGGCGUGGAAGGAAAGAUUGGCGAUAUGAUAUGAAGAUCUCCUCCCAUUGUAACCGACUCUGUGUAACCCUAGCCCUCUCCGGUGUCUAUAUAAACCAGAGAGUUUUAGUCUGUAGGACAACAACAAUCAUACCAUAGGCUAGCUUCUAGGGUUUAGCCUCUCCGAUCUCGUGGUAGAUCAACUCUUGUAUUACCCAUAUCAUCAAUAUUAAUCAAGCAGGAGUAGGGUUUUACCUCCAUCGAGAGGGCCCGAACCUGGGUAAAAACAUCGUGUCCCUUGUCUCCUGUUACCAUCCGCCUAGAAUCACAGUUCGGGACCCCCUACCCGAGAUCCGCCGGUUUUGACACUGACAAGGAGGCCGAGGCGGCCCAGGUGUCCCUUGUCGAGGCAAAAGAAGCGGCCACCAUGGAGCACAGCACACCCGCCUCCCUCGAGGCGAGGUUCCACAAAGCUCAGCAGUCACUCUUUGGGGACGAUCCCUCGAAGAAACUGGCGGUGGCCCCAAGGGAGAGCCCUGCCGCCCUACUCCCUGAGGUCGUGGCAGUGCUCGAGGAUGUCGUCGACGGGUUUGGCUCUUUGGUGGAAGUUGAGGCUUGCUUGCUUUCUUCCUCGGCCCUUACGUGCGUCUUCAGCCAUCUCUAUCUCCGGGACGCCAGCUUCGACUUCACCACCUUCCUCGAGCCCGUGGACCUCAACUCCCAUAGCGCUUCUACUGCCGCCGUGAAGAGCUCCGUGGACGCCCUGCUGAGCAAGUUCCUUGUCAUCGGUCUAGCGGCUGGGGCCGAGGUGACGGGCAACGUGGCUGGCGACGAGGCUCCGCUGGCGGGUGAUGGCGGUACCCAGGGCUGAAGAAGUGACUUGGUGGCGUUGCUCCUUCAUGUUUGUCCUGUAUCAUAUAGCAUGCCUCGUGGAGGCGUUUAAAACUGAUUGCUUGGAAUAGUAUGUUUGGUAAUAAUUAGGUUGUGGUUCCCCGACUUUUUUAGAUUGCUUUGUUGUUUUGCGUCGGCAGAGCCCGACCCCGUGCAUACCUCAGCCGCCGUUGGGUCGUCCGGAUCGCCAGGACGAGCCCAAGGGGUAAGGGGCUAUGUGGCCAGUUAGGCUCCUGAGACGCGAUGCUCAAGAGUCCCCCUUGACAUGCAAACAGCUUAGGAAAAAGUGUGAAGACAAGCCUUGCUGUUCUGUGUCGGUGAUGUCUACUACACAACCUUCUUCUUGUAGACGUUGUUGGGCCCGUAAGUGCACAUGUUUGUAGGAUAGUACCAAAUUUCCCUCAAGUGGAUGACCUAAGGUUUAUCAAUCCGUGGGAGGCGUAGGAUGAAGAUGGUCUCUCUCAAACAACCCUGGAACCAAAUAACAAAGAGUCUCUUGUGUCCCCAACACAUGCGAUACAAUGGUAAAUUAUAUAGGUGCACUAGUUCGGCGAAGAGAUGGUGAUACAAGUGCAAUAUGGAUGGUAGAUAUGAGUAUUUGCAAUCUGAAAUUAUAAAAACAGCAAGGUAGCAAGUAACAAAAGUGAGCAUAAACGAUAUUGCAAUGGUUGGAAACAAGGCCUAAGGUUCAUACUUUCACUAGUGCAAGUUCUCUCAACAAUAAUGACAUAAUCGGAUCAUAUAACUAUCCCUCAACAUGCAACAAAGAGUCACUCCAAAGCCACUAAUAGCAGAGAACAAACGAAGAGAUUAUGGUAGGGUACGAAACCACCUCAAAGUUAUCCUUUUUGAUCUAUCUAUUCAAGAGUACGUAGUAAAAUAACAUGAAGCUAUUCUUUCCGUUCGAUCUAUCAUAGAGUUCAUACUCGAAUAACACCUUAAGACACAAAUCAACCAAAACCCUAAUGACACCUAGAUACUCCAUUGUCACCUCAAGUAUCCAUGGGCAUGAUUAUAUGAUAUGCAUCACACAAUCUCAGAUUCAUCUAUUCAACCAACACAAAGUACUUCAAAGAGUGCCCCAAAGUUUCUACCAGAGAGUCAAGACGAAAACAUGUGCCAACCCCUAUGCAUAGGUUCAUGGGCGGAACCCGCAAGUUGAUCACCAAAACAUACAUCAAGUGGAUCACGUGAAUAUCCCAUUGUCACUACAGAUAAGCACGGCAAGAAAUACAUCAAGUGUUCUCAAAUCCUUAAAGACUUAAUCCGACAAGACAACUUCAAAGGGAAAACUGAACUCAUCACAAGAGACACUACAAAAAAAAGACACAUCCAUGACAUUUUUGGCGAACGAAUUUUUUUUCUAUCAUACAUAUGACACUUCUAUGAUGAUAAUUGUGACAAAACCCGGUAUCAUUAUAGAUGUGGUGGGAUCCUACUUCUAUGACAAAAAAUCAUGACCGAAAAUGGGCUUUUCGUCCUGGGCGGGCCGGAGACGCAACUGCAUGACAUUCUUUGGGCCGUCCAUGACGGAAAAAACCGUGGUAGAAGCGAGUGCGAGGAAAAUUUUGGGGAGUUCCCGGUUACGGUGGGUGGUCGGGGGCCGAGCGAUGCGCGUUUCUCUCGUACACAUACGCGCGUGUGUGCGAGGCGUUGGCUCUAACGGAACCCGAGCGAGGCGUUGGGCUCUAACUGAACCUGAGCAAUUGCACUGCAGGCUACGCGUUACUGAACCCGAGCAAUCGAUCGAUGGCUAUUAACUGAACUCGAGCGAUCGAUUCCUUCGCUACUGCUGCUAACUGAAGCCGAUCGAUGCUGCCUCUCUGGAUGAACAAUGAGUGUUGUGGGGGGGCGGGUUGGAUGAACAGUGAGCGGUGGGAGUGGAUGAAUAGGACCCAUCGCGUUGCCUCUGGAUGAACAGGACCCCGUGGUGUGGAGGGCUGGAUGAACAGGACGACCCCGUGGAGGACUGGAUCAAUAGUAGACGGUGGAGGGGUGGAUGAACAGUAUCCCAUGGAGUGGUGGUUGAACAGGAGCCCGUGGAGAGGGGUGGUUGAACAGUAGCCGGUGGAGUAGCGCGCGGUGGAGGCUGGAUGAACAGGAGCCCGUGGAUGAAUAGUCGCAGGUGGAAGCAGGAGGAGGUCAACGGUGGAUGAACAGUAGCCCGUGGAGGCUGGAGGAGGUCGACGGUGGAGAUGAACAAUAUCCCGUGGAGUCCCGUUGAGGGAGUCCCGGAUUAGGGGUGUCCGGAUGGCCGGACUAAGACCUUUGGUCGGACUCCUGGACUAUGAAGAUACAAGAUUGAAGACUCCGUCCCGUGUCCGGAUGGGACUUUCCUUGGCGUGGAAGGCAAGCUUGGCGAUACGAUAUGAAGAUCUCCUCCCAUUGUAACCGACUCUGUGUAACCCUAGCCCUCUCCGGUGUCUAUAUAAACCCGAGAGUCUUAGUCCAUAGGAUGAACAACAAUCAUACCAUAGGCUAGCUUCUAGGGUUUAGCCACUCCGAUCUCAUGGUAGAUCUACUCUUAUACUACCCAUAUCAUCAAUAUUAAUCAAGCAGGAGUAGAGUUUUACCUCCAUCGAGAGGGCCCGAACCUGGGUAAAAACAUCGUGUCCCUUGUCUCCUGUUACCAUCCGCCUAGACACACAGUUCGGGACCCCCUACCCAAGAUCUGCCGGUUUUGACACCGACGCCCGUUUUGCGGUACGCCACACCCCUCCCGAUGAACAAGACCCCCGUUUCAACCAUAGCGCUCCAACACAAGUCCGUUUCAUCCGUUUUGCGGUAUGCCACACCCCUCCCGAUCAACAGGACCCCCGUUUCGACCGUAGGAGGUUCGUUUUGUCUGUUUUGCGGUACGCCAAACCCCUCCCGAUCAACAGGACCCCCGUUUCGACCGUAGGAGGUCCGUUUCCUCCGUUUUGCAGUACGCUAGACCUCUCUCGAUGCACAGGAUCCCGUUUCGAACAUGGCCGGUCGAACACAAGGCCGUUUCCUCCGUUUUGCGGUACGCCAGGCCUCGUUUCCAUCGCCUAUUCCGUCCAAGCCCUCCCGAUGAACACGACUAUGCAUUCCGUUCCGACCCAGCCGGUUGGCUCCCCAUGAACACGACGACGACGCUGUUUCUCCGUUCCGACCCAGCCAUGUACACGAGCCCUGGACAUACGUAUACGCAAGUAGGAAUUCGAGACCCCUCCCGUAUGUACACAUACGUGGCCGUAUUUUCUUUCUCUCACACUGGCCGCUGUAUGUACGUGUACAUGCUACGUGCGCGCCUCAACUAUGACACGUGCACACCUCUACUACGACAUGUGCGCGCCUCUACAUCAACCAGUAUAUAUGUACGUACACGUUCGCGACUAGAAUGACAAUGCUACGUAUGCUUCGACCAGGUGGGUCUCGACUGUCAGGCACUUCCUUGCGUGCGAAGAUGUAGCUGGUGGGUCCCAGCAGUUAGGGGGGCGAAUUAUUGUUUUGGGACACACUUCCUUGCGUGCGAAGAUGUAGUUGGUGGGUCCCAGCAGUCAGGGGGCGAAUCAUUUUUUUUUCCCGGACGCACUUCCUUGUGCGCGAAGAUGUAGCUGGUGGGUCCUAGCAGUUAGGGGGGAAACAUUUUUUUCGUGAAAUAUCGUGGCCCGUCCGGUGGGUCCCUGCUAUCAGGUGGAGGAAUAAUUAUUUUCCACGUAAUAAGGAGGCACUUCCUUGCUGCGGCCGUGGACCCAUCUGUCAGCCUCUCCAUGUACAGUCCACGUCCGAUGGAAGUCGUUCCUUGACCACGUUGACCCUGCUGCACCGAGAGCACUAGGGCGGUGGACGACGGCGAGUCCUAGGAAGGGGACGACACGGAGCCGGGAAAGACGUGGCAGUGGAAGCCAGCGCAGAGAGGAGUACGAGGGUUCACCGGUUCGGCUAUGGUGUGAGGCUGCCGUCACCACAGAAUAACAGGGGGUGUGGCUGAGUAGAGGGAUGCCCUGGCCAGCGGUGGGAGUAGUAGGGGGCACUGAGGCCUCUGCGGCAGCACAGCCGGCCACGGGAGGCGGGAGCAGGCGGUCUCGCCGGUGCUGCUUUGGCGGCUGGAGCAAGAAGAUCAGAGAUUGAAGAAACACGACGGCCGUUGGAUUGACAUAUAACGAACAUCUGCUAGAAUCAUUUGUUGACGUAUAUAAUAACUAACAAAAUCUUGCAUACGCGUCAACUAAAUAGGCCCAUUUGGUGUGGAACUGUUACUACUUUCAGAGAAUUCCUCAUGACACUAUCCUCUGUGGUUCAUUUUGGUGGAGAGACAUUUCUAAAUUAAUGGAAAAGUAUAGGGCUAUUACCUCUGUCACUGUUGGCAAAGGUGAUACUGUUCUUUUUUGGAAAGAUCAUUGGGAGAUUGAUCAUUCUUGCAUUCCUUUGCAGGAAAGGUUUCCAAGGCUUUUCUUUUUUUGCCUGCAGAAGAACCUUUCUGUCAUGGAAGUGAUUCAAGGAGAAAAUUUACAGAAAAUGUUUUCAUUGCCAUUGUCUGAGCUGGCAUUUAGGGAGUUCAGUCAGCUUUCAAGCUUGUUAUCUGGGACUUCGUUUGACAAUGAUCACAAUGAUUUAUGGGCCUGGAGACAUGGGAAAAGGCUGAGUACUCGGCAAAGAAGUACUCUGAUUUUGUCCACCAGCCUGUUUUUGCCAAUCCCAUACUGAGCUGGGUUUGGAAAAGCUGAUGCACCAUGUCAAUUAAAAUGUUUGCAUGGCUGGUCAUUAUGGACAGAGUUAACACCAAAGAUAUGAUUCAAAGACGACAUUGGCGAAUUAAUGAUGGACCUAGUUGUGUCCUAUGCCCGACUGUAGUUCUGGAGGAUAGGAAUCAUCUAUCCUUCCAAUGUAACUUCAGUAUGAGAAUUUGGAACUACCUGCAAGUUCCCUGGUUGGAUAGCAAUGAUAUGGUGCAAUUUGCUUUACAUGCAAGGAAGGAGUUCAAUAAGCCUUUUUUCUCUGAGGUGGUUUUCCUUGCAUGGUGGAAUAUCUAGAAAGUUAGGAAUGGUAGGGCUUUUAGGCAUGUCAACCCAACUAUUAGGCAGUGGAGAAAUGGGUUUAUUCAUGAUGUUACUCUUCUUUCACAGCAGAUCAUGACCAGAUACAAAGAGGAACUGCUCAAAUGGAUUGAUUUCCUGCCUCCUUGAGGGCAUUGUAACUGCUUACUUUCCUAGUUGUAGUCCUUCCUGCUUUCUCUUUUUUCUUAGAGUUUUAUAGCUUUCCUUGUAUAGCUUUUCUUUUUUGUUUGUUCCCCUUCUUGAGGAACUUUGUAUUUACUCUUUGUUCUUUAUUAAUAAAAUGCUGUGGGGUGUAAGCCUUGCAGUCUUCAAAGUCAUUUAUAUAUAGCUCAUGGAAACUUCUUAUGCAAUUUAUUGCAGUCAUUUUUUUGGUUGGCCAUGGCCAAUUUUUCAUAUUUCUGUGGGUUCCAAACUAUUUUUAAUAUCAAAAUGUUGAGCCAGAUUUAAAGUACUUUGAAGAUAUAUUUAAAUUAGGUUAAUGCCAAGUGAAAUAGGAAUCUGAAAAUGUGAAAAAAAUUUAUAAAGGAAUUGCCAUUUUGUCAUCUGUUUUUAUAUUUACAACCCAUUUCAUAUUACUUUCAAUAUUUGCAGGCGUCUUGAAAGAGUUGCAGCCCAUCAGGGCGUAGAAAAAUAAGUAGGCCUGGAUUGGGUAUUCUUCAGAAAAAAUAAACUGGGCUCAUUUUUACAAAGAAAAAAUAGCUGGGUUGGUCACAUGGUGAACAUAAAAUAUAAGCCUGGGCUAGACGGGCCACAGCUUAAUUCAAACCCUGCUCCGUCUCAACAAUAACAAAAAAAUACUGCUCGAGCAGCUACGUCCCAGGUGUCAGCCGAUCUUGUGCUGUUCUCUUGUCUAUUGACUAUAUACACUCACAAUGACGUGGCUCCCAGAUGUCAGGAAAACACUAGGAGGAAGCAUUUUAUUUUUCCAUACACUGACGUGGUGGGCCCCUACUGUCAUCCUAUCCACGUACUUCUGCCGAUUCCUGUUGUUUGUUGACCAUGUUGACAACGCGAGAGGGCGGCGCUGUGGCGAGCACACCAAACCGUGUGGAGGACGUCGGUGUUAACGAUUUAGGAGACGGUGGGGCGGCGAUGCGUGCGCUGAGGCGCAGCCAGCCGUGGGAGGCGGAAACAGGCGGCCCCGCCGGUGCUGGUUUAGUUUUGGCGGCUGGAGGAAGAUAGGACUGAAGAAACACGAUAGACUGUAAAAGCAGCAGGAGUACUUAACAACCUUAACUGAAACCAGCAGGGGCACUUAACAACCAAAGCUGAAAGUAGUAUGAGUACUUAUACAGGUUCAACCAUACAAAGCACGCCUCAAACAGUGCUACUUUUCCUACAGUUAAGCAAGUGUGAGGCCACCAAGCCCCAGGACUGCCACCCCGCGCAUCCACAACCUUCUGAAAGCGGUUUCAUCUCGCAAUGUGGUCAAUAAACAUGAUAUUCGGUUUAGAGCCAUGGAAAAGCAUGAACAUAAUCUUCUGUCCUAUUCUCCAAGAUGGACGGGCCUUCAUUAUUUGAGACCACCCAUGAAUAAGUAUCGUUUCACCUCCAAGGGGAAUUGAGUAGGUCGACAUAAAAAUCAUGUUGUGACCAAGCGCAAGUCUAACCCAGCCAUGGUCAGGCAUCUGUAUAGGAACAAUAGAACUGGGCAGUUCCUGUUUCAAGAAGACACAGCUGUAAAACUAUGUAUAAGCAAUAGUUUAUGAACAACAUAUAUAACAGAAAACAACUCGUACCAUAAGUUUCUCGACACAGUUGGACCUGUUCAACGAGUGCAGCAGUGGCACACAUAUCCCACGUGGCCUUCCACCAUUGAAACGCCCCACAAGGACCUCAAGACGAUCAAUAAAGUGUAGGAACUUGUGGAUGUCGAUCCAAUUAACUUUAGUGCCAUCAGUAACAGCCGAGUUAUUACAGAGUAACAAAUGAGCAGACUACUUAACUCUGAAAAAACCUACACGUGCCACCAAUUAUAAGAAAAUAUUAGUUAGAAGUAGCAUCUUCGUGAGAGAUUCGUUGCUACUUCUAAAGUUAAAUUGUGAUUAGUUAGACAGAAUAGGUGGAUUAAGAAGUAAUCGAAGCAACAAGCAAGAACUAGAUACAAAACUAACAUGGAUGAACAAUUGGAACGACGUCGGGGUGGAAGAUCGCAGUGAAGAUGAGACCAGGUUCUGCUAUUUCCAUCAACAUUCGUGCGCCAACUUUCAGUCCGUAACACUUGGGAAAGUUUAUCCAAGUUCGGCCAUAAAAAAAGCAGCGAUCUUCUUGGUUCAUGAACCCAACUCGGAACUUAUAUCCAUGGCUUGUCUUCGCUGUGACCAUUAAACUAGUGUAUUUAGUUAUGGCAAGGCCGAGCAUCUUGAGUACAUGUGUUCUGGCAGAGCAAAUAAUACAUUGCAGGAGAAAUAAUAUGAGAACACAGCAUGUUCAAGAAAACCCCACCCUCCCUGAUAGAAAAGAGGAGUCUAGGAACAUACUGUGCGUGUUUCAAAAUGUUGUGUCAGGAUGAGAAGGAACAAGUGUGGCGUCUCGCCGAGGGUGCAGAAACCUAUAGGGUCCUCGCACUUUGGGCACUGCAAAUGAAACACACUAGAUUUAGUAGGAAGAAAAAUGCAUCAACGGCGACGGCUGCCGUCCUAGGAUUACCUGCGACCAAGGGACUUGGAUUUAUCGGGGAUGGAUGAAGAAUUCAUACCUGGUUCUCCAUGAGAAAACCCUAUGCAAUAGCCGAGAGGGGGUUUUCUCUAAACAAACAGACAAGGGAGAAGGGGAUUCAGGCCCAGUGAAAUAUUGCCGCUUCGUCCAUCGAGCUUACUGCUAAAUCCGAAGGGGGGGGGUUGUGAUUUGACGGCUCAUUGGGCAUUACUGCGGCGCUACGACCGCAGUGUGUCUACGGUGCAGUUGUGCACUCUAAUUUGUGCAUAUGGCACGUGGACCCCGUUGCCGGUUGCUCCACAUAUCAGUGAAAGGAAGUAGAAAGACAGGAGUAACUAGUUACACAUAAAUAUAUUUUUUGACAGAGAGAUACUCCCUCUUUAAAGAAAUAUAAAAUCUUUUAUAUCACAACUUUAUACAUAAGAAAAAUCAAGGGGAAUAUAUAUAACAUAUAUCUCUACUCUUAUAAAAACAAAGUUGGUCAUGAUGGUGUGCCUGGCAUCCUGCAAUAUAAGCCGUCUGAUUUAUAUCUGACGGAUAGGAAGGGAAAAUGGAAAUUUUGCAAAAAGGUACCCACACACCUCUCCACAUUUGCAAAUAAGGCCUUCCCUCGUUCAUCCUUUUCUCUCACAAGAUAAAAUACUCAUAAAAAUGCAUCUUGAUGUUACAUGCAACGCACGGGCAUUAUGGGAGUUCAGCUUUUUCUAUGGGGGUUCAGCUGAGAAUAUAAUACUCAGAAAGGCUCACGGUUCUGGACUUUGGGCCGCAGGCCCACCCAGCAUGUUUGGGGGCCCAUGUGUUCUACCUCAGUGCUUUUCAUAUUGCAAGUGAUCGGUACGGCGCUGGUUUUAGAUAUUGUCGCAAGGUGAAUACACAAAAUCGAAUAAUGCACGGCAGCUAUUGGUAUGAAAUCGAACGACAGUUCCUAACCAGCAAUCAGAGUUGCAAUUCUGCCAAUGAUAUACCAUGUGAUAAAUAAUACUGUCGUACUACUUAUGCACACAGGACACUUGUUUCACCUUGCCAGAUUAUUACAUCAAAAUCUCUCGGAGCAUAGAUCAGUUCGGCAGUUGCGUGCUGCUACUGAAGAAUUUCAAAGUUGAUUUGGACCAGCUCUCCUUGCCGAGAAAGUUUGAUUUUGACAUCAUCCCCUACCGCAAGAUAUGAUUUAGAUUUGAACCUUGACCAUCCUUUAGCAUCCACCAUCAUGCGACCAUCCUUUGUACUUACGAUAUAUUGAGCAGGUUCAUUCACACCAAGGCUGCCCAUGGUAAGAGAAACUUGGCCGCGGUCGCCCGGAUUGUUGAACGACUCCCUCGUUGCUCUAGGAAUUCUCUGUUUGCAAACAAGAAAACAUACCCAAACAGUUAGAUCAACACAGUGAAUCAUGUGAAACAACAUGAAAAGAAAAAAGAACGAAGCACUUGGGCGGCCAAUGCUUACCAAGAAGGUGGACAUGUCGGUUUUUGUAAGGGCUUUGGUAUAUGAAGUGCGAACUGCAGCCCAGUCUGUUGCUGGUGCAACUGCACGGGCCGGAGCAGAUGCAAGUGCAAGUGUUAGUGCAGGUGUCGAAGAUGGUGCUCCUUGUAGAGCUGGUGCCGGUGUCGGAGCAGGUGCCGAUGUCGAUGCCCGAUCCUCCGGUAGAUCAGACUGAUCCGCAGACGCGGUCGGUGCCCAAUCCUCAGCUGGAUCAGACUGAGCUGCUGCCGCUGUCAGUGCUAGAGCAACUGUCGGUGCUCGAUCCAUUGCUGAAGGUGGUACCGAUGUGCAAGAUGCGGCGAUCGUGUCUGGUCUGCUAUGAUCAGCUUUCUAACUUGACUAGGAUCUGUGACCUUGAUCCAGUCUUUUUCUUCAUUUCUUCUAAACGCGAGAAGGACUAAUUGUGGCGUUUUUGUUAAACCAAACUGCAGUUCAUCAUAGGGAUUCAGCUUGUACUCAAACAACAGACUGAUCCAAUUUUUUCCAGUAAUAUAAGUGAUGGAUAGUGCCUUCGUUACUGACACGACAUAAGAAGUCAAACCUGCAAAAAUAGCCAUCGUAGAGCAAACCAAACGGUUUAUUCUGUGAUGAAUGUCACAUGGCAAAAGCUGCAUCAUAAAAUUGCAGGAAAAGAAAGAAAACAUGACAUUAAAUCAUUAAGAUUUAGAUAGUAAAUCAAUAAGAUUUACUUGAUGUGACACAAGUGAAUUCUUACCAGGAAAUCACUAUGUUGAAGUACUAAACAGAAGAUUGAUCGUCCAACUAGGGCUGGUAUGCAGGGGGCCCUCCUACUCCCACAAGCAGGACAGUCCAAAGGACGUGACAAAUCGUAUGGACCAAACAUCCAUGGAACUAGAAAUCCUGGUGGGUGCGAUAAACCCUGCAAUGCAUACAAAUAUUGGAGUGUAACCAUAAUUGAUAAACCGUCCUCACAAAAAAGAUGAUCUGGAUACUUCAAAAUAUAUAGACUGAAUUGAGUGGACAGACAUUAACAUAGACCGUUCUCAGGACUGACCACACACCAAAAGCGGUAGUACUAAUAAACAAUACAGGGUUCACAAACACAAAUCAAGUACUGAACAAUAGUACUUACUACAGACAAGCAAAGUUGCACUAAUUAAACUCUGCAGACUAUUUCUUGCCACCGACCUACGGGAUGAACCCCGCAUAACUGACUAUGCCAUGGACUUCGUGAGAGAUGUCUACAUGCACCAUCACCAUCUUGUCAACCUUGGAGAACCUAACAGAGUGGUCUUUCCACUCAUAAAAAUGAUGAUGAAGACAGGCCGCAUCAGAUUUGUUGGGAAGCUUUACAAGAACCACACCCUUCGUAAUCGAAGGCACAACCAGGAAAUUGUUGUGGUCAAGUCAGCCUCGAGAACACGCCUGUCAACAAUGCUACAGGAAAACACUAGUUCAGGACACGUGGCGACAAGGACACAUCAGCUGGAUAGUUUAGCAGUAGAACUCAUCCCCAUGUCUUCCAGUUCACACGGCAUGACUUUGAGAACUACAUCUCCACAGCGGACCUGGUUCUAAUUCAAACAGAAACCAUAUUUUAUUACUACCUCCGUUCAGAAAUAUAAGAUGAUUUUUGAUAUUAUACUCCAUAUAUGACUACAUAUACGCACAGAAAUGAGUGAACAAAGACACUAGAACAUAUCUUCAAAGGCAUGAGAGCAGAGGGAUUACUUGCAAUAUCCAUAACACAAGUUACUAAGGAAAAUAUACCCUCUUCAAAGGUAGCAUUGAUGUUCAUAAAGUACUCCCUUCGUCCCAAAAUUCUUGUCUUAGAUUUUUCUAGAUACGGAUGUAUCAAGUCACAUUUUAGUAUUAGAUACAUCUAUAUCUAGACAAAUCUAAGACAAGAAAUUUGGAACAAAGGGAGUAGUUGAAAGUAAUCUAUAAGAAAUCAGUGUCAACCUCUCGCAUCUUUUGGUCAAAAUGGGAAUUUAGAACCGUCAUUUGGCACACUAAAAUAACAUGCAAGAUCACCCAGAAAGUUGUACUACCAGUACUAGUACUGCAUAUUAGAUGAAAAAACACGAUCAAGAUCGAGAAAAAGAUCGUCAACAAGAGACAUUACCUGGACUUGCUUAAUGAGGGAUCCCGGAGAGGGGGGCUUGGAUAGGGCGAUGGCUUUGAGCUUGUUUGCGGUAGUCUCGGUGGGGUGCUUGCGCUUCUUCGUACCAUGAGCCUCGACAGUUUUGGCCAGAGCCAUAGACAUCACGUCAGCCGGUGCUCCAGCGUCCAUCCAAGAGAGGAGGCCGAGAGAGAAGAGCGAAAGGAGGAACGAGAUGAGGGAGAAGCAAAGCGAGUGGGGUUUUUCUUCAAGAGAGGAAGCUGAGAGAGAAGAGUGAAAUGAUGGUUGCUUCGUCCGUCCAACUUACUGCUAGAAAGGAGGGGGUUUUGUGAUUUGAUGGCUCAUUGGGCAUUACUGUGGCGCUUCAAUCGGUGUAGUCUACGGUCACUCUACUACGGAGUAAUUUAGUGCAUGGCUGGUGGACCCAGGUGCUGGCUGUCCCACACGUCAGCGAAAGUGAGUAAUUUAGCGCAUGGCUGGAGGAGGAUCCGCACGGUAGAUCGUGUCCACUGUUUUUCUGAAGAAAAAAUGAUUAUAGCAAGCGUUUCCACUCUUAUGGCGGAGGAGUGCGAAACAUGGCAGCCACUUGAACAUACACAGUGCUCCUACUACUAGGCAUGUGCAGUGGUUCAUACGUCAGUACUAGACAAUCUUGUUGCUAGUGUAGUAAGAUAUGACGAUAACAAAUGAUGUUGUGCGCAUGUCAACUACUCCUAUAUGUAAAAUAGUACCGCUUUUUCGACUGUCUGGUCGAGAAUGAACGGUGAGAUCAAUGUUAACCGAAGUAGGUCUACAGUGCACGGAGAGUACGGUGCUACAGUACUCCACGAAACAUGAACCAUAUGAAGCACGGAUAGUGUUAGGCAGGGUGUAUGAAGGGGAAUUCCAUAUGAAGGGUGCACGGGAUGGGAGCAAAAGUUCCCUUCUCGACCCACUUUUGGGUGUUUGGCAGAGUGCAUGAAGGGUGCAUGAGUCCACACUAGUAGGUUAACAAAAAUACAUGAAGACGAAACAACUAUAUUGAGAUGAGAAUGCAACCAAACACACCCACACGCUUUGUGCUACAAUGACUGAUCUGCACCGUCUUAGUUUGAUCCAAUGGUCAUGUUGUGUUGAGACAUGGACAUGCCCAUGCAGAGGGCACCUAAACACCACGGAAGUCCCUCUGCUUCUCGAGGCGCACGAUGUUGGUGAUGCAGGGUGCAACUGCCCGCAGAGCCCGCUCCCAGUCCACGGGAGCCAGCUCGUCAAAGACGGCGUCCAAUGGCACGAAUGGAUUCCGGUGAUGGAGCCCUGAAAGGAUUCGCCCGACAACGGCGACGGUAUCCCGCAACCCCUCCUUGUCAAGCUCAGCCCCCACCAUCACGCGGAGACGGCUUAGCUCCUCGGAUAUAUAGGUGAAGAAGGAGACCAGGUUAGGAAGCCGCAACUCUUUGAAGUCGACCGGGUGGUCGAACGGAUUUAGCCCGAUGGCCGGCAUCAUCGCGCUGGCACGGCGGCAGGCAUCGCGCAGCCGCAACACGUGCUUGGCAACUUGGUUCGUCAAGUGGUUGAGGCGAUCCUGGACCUCAUCACGAUCGGCCCACUCGUGCUCCAGCUGCCUCCCCUGACGGCCUAUCGUAUCUCCCGCUUUCUGCAGCAACACCGCCGACACCUCGAGCAUCUUUGUGGUGGACGCCUGCCGCUUUUGAAGCUUGGUGAACUUCCACACAUAACGGAGGAGCAUGGCACUCCUCUCCUCCUUGAGCUCACGGAGCUCCACGUCCUUUGCCCUGAGCUCCGCAUCCUUGGCAUGGAGCUCCUGAGUCAGGCGCCUCACCUCGGACUCCGUGAUCUGCUGCGCCGCCUUGGCACCAGGUGGAAGCAAUGGGGAGAGGAAGCAAAGGGGGUGAAACGGCUGAAAGGCAAUGCAAUCUACGGGAAGGCGGAGGGAGCCACCCGACGAGCGGGGAAUCUUUUGGUUUUCACCAUGGUAAAACACCAGUCGACGACUUCUCACAUCAGGGAGCAGUGGGUUUUACAGGUGGAGUCAUCGUGACUAAUUGCUGCCGCGCCUGCUCCCGUCAAUCAAGAAAUUAAAAAUCCUGCCGUGCAUGCUCCUGUCAAUCAAAAAAUUAAAAAUCCUGCCGCACCCAAACACCAGAGCAACGCCGCGGUGGAUAUUUAAAUUUACCUGCCGGCAAGUAGAUAAAAAAAGGGGUGAAAAAAUAAAUGUGGCGGCGGCCUAGCUAAUCGGUCGAACUAGCCCAACUAGCUAGCCACCAUGCUUCACUGAUGUACUCGGCGGGAAAGGUGGUCUUUCGUGAUUUGACAACUCAUUUACUUGCUUCGGCGCUACGACCGAGGAGGACCCAGAAAAUGCACGGUAGGGCGUCCCACGUCAGGAAGAAUAUAUGCAUGCACCACCCGGGAGGACCCCGAAACCGUGUGGUAGGUUGUGCCACGUCUCGGCACGGAGGAAAAAUGUGCGUGUAAAAAUAUACUCCCUCCGUCUAGGUGUGUAAGUCAUCUUACGAAAAUCAAAUAAUCCCAAAACACUUACGCGUGGUGCAUUAACUUCUAUCUCGUUUCUUGUUUCUUGACAUAUCAACCAAUAAGAGAUGAGGGGUGUGCAUGCUUUUAAUGAUUUGAGACUACCAAACAUGACAUGCAGUGGUUAGUUCAUUGCAUGCAAUGUUAUUAAUUAGCAAAUAAACGUUAAGGUCUCUCAUUUUCCCCUCCUCCUUGGUCACGGUGACUUACUCACCUAGACGUAGGGAGUACUAUAUCAGACGUCGGCAGUAACUCUAGUAGUACCUAUGGUUCGACCUCGGGAGCCAUCCAUUCGGUCAAAAACACCCCACUAGCCACACAGCUUCAUCAUGCAAAUGUGGCAUGGAGGAUAGAUGUGGUUAGCUUCGUCUCGACUAGCCACAACGUCUCUUGUUCUAGGCGAUUCUUCUAUUUUCCAAUCUUUUUUUUGUUGUUGUAAUAACACCACGACAAGCUAGCUCCACUCUUCGUGUGUGCCCGUGCAAAGGUUAGAUGAUGGAGAGAAGAGAGAUUGAGAUCGCGGACCUGGGACCCACGAGUAAGUGAGACAACGUUCAUGCACGUGUUGACGAGGCACUCCCUCUACUCUACUCAACGUAAUACUGCAUAAAAUCAAGUUAUGGGACAAAGCCAACAACCGUUGUUGUUCAAGGCUAUCAACUUACGCUUUUUAGUCCAGGUUGCCAGUUCGAAUCUCCUCUUUCAGAUUUGUUAGUUUUUGGUCCAAAUUUGAUUAAUGACAAGUGGGACCCCCAUGUGUUAUUCCAAUAUUUCAGUGUAGGAUGGUUUUUUUUGAACAAACACUUUGCACGGUUAGACAAGUAAAGGCACGAGUUACACGUAUUUUGCAAGUUUACGAACAAAAAUGAUAGAGGCAUAGAAUAUCACAUCCACCUCGCAGCUUAGAUACCAUGGUGAUACGAGUUUUUACACCGUUGAAAGUGAGAUCAAAUGGCUUUGGAGUAGUCUUUGUAAUUAUGCGCAAUUUCCAAACUCUCCAAAGGUUUUUUUGCAAAUAAAACAUCCAAGCCUCGUGUGUGCCGCUGCAUCUUCGAUCCAACGGCUCCCUGUUGCUCAUAUUAGGUGGUCCCCGUAGCUUAAUUACCUGCUAAGGUGAUAUGAGCAUCUAGGUUCUCUGAUCAGUGAUCAGAUGGCACAUCCGUAGUACUUGUACUUUCUGCUCAUUUCCCAAACUCUAUCAGUCGUAUAUUUCAAAAACAUUCAAACCUCCUACUGUGGGCCGUUAGAUCUUAGUGAACUCGUAUCACCAUAGAAUCUACGGUGCGGGAGCACCUCAUAUACUGUUGUGCGAGAAAACAUAAGGUGCUAUCACAGCUUGGAUGCUACGGUGAUACGAGCUUCGAGGUCGUUUGAUCUGAGAUCCAAUGGCAUCCGAGCAGUCUUUGUGCUUGUAAGCAGUGGCCGAACUCUUUUGGGGCUUUUCUGCAAAAAACCAUUCAAACCGCCGAGGAGGUGUUGGGUCACAAAUCCAACGGCUCCGAAGAGCUUGUAUCACCAAAGCAUCUAAGGUGUGGUAGCACAUGAUAUUCUUACAUACAGGAUAAUAUGAUGUCCUCCUUAAUCUUAGAUGCUACAGUGAUACGAGCUUCGAGGUUGUUGGAUAUGGGAUCCCAGGGCAUCUGAGUAGUUUUUGUACAAAUUGUGUGCAAUUCUCAAACUAAUCAAGGUUUCCUGUUAAAAUAUUAAGACACAUCAUGUGAGCUGCUAUAUCUCAGAUCUACAAGCUCCAAGCAACUCGUAUCAGCAUAUAGCAUCUAAGGUAUGGGGGCACAUGAUAUUCUCCCGGGGAGGAGGGGUGGGGGGUGCACAACCAAUCGGUGGUUGGGAGGGUGGGGACAAAUAUAGUCUAAACAACCCUAAUCAGAGAUCCAGAAUUUUAUCUAAGGUCGAGGGGUUGACCCCCAACAAUCAUAGCUCCGCCUAAACACAACAUUUGCAUGUACUGUAGUACUAGACUUAACAUUCAUGUUUCAGUCUCAUGUUCAUUUUAAAUAUUGAACUGAGGAACAUGCAUGUCUUACAUUUUACUCCAUUUGUUCCUAUAAAUAUUAGUUUUUUUAGAGAUUUCAAAUGGACUGGCAUAUACGGAUGUAUAUAGACAUAUUUUAGUGUCUAGAUUCACUCAUUUUGCUCCGUAUGUAGUCACUUGUUGAACUCUCUAAAAGACUAAUAUCUAGGAAUAGAAGGAGUAUUUUUUAAUUCGUGUCAUACAUGCAUGGUUUGGAAAAAUAGAUGCACUAUACUUAUUGGAUUGUUGUUGUGUUCGUGCGUGUGUGUCUGUGUGUGUGUGUGGUCAUAUGCUUGAUACAUACAAAGUUUUCUCACCUCCAUAUUGUUCAUCUUUGAAAUUUGAAUUUGCAUUGGGAAACUUACUAGGGAUACCAUGAAAUGUGAAAUCCAUGUUGAGAUCACUAUAUCGCAUACUCACUCUAAUUCAACAACUCGUCAUAAAUCAAUUACCAUGUUAAGAUUAGUAUUUGCAAGGAAAAUACGGGUAUUGUAAUACACAUAGAUUCGUUCGGCAAUUUAAAAGGUUCCUUUCGUAUUCUCGAAUGGUAGGACCCAACGGUGUACCAGCCGGACCUUAGCUCCUGUCGAUCCUAAAAAAAUAAAAAUACCGGGCUCGUGUCCUUUCGUUGGCGUGCGUGGUACACACAUUAGGCAACCCCAACCAGUCGAGCCUCAGCGUUUCAAGUCGAAAUAUCUGGCGGCUAGAAUUCCAGCCCUAGGAAAUUCCCCUCAUGUCCCCGGUCCAUAAUUACUACCGAUGAACAGCGGAGGGAUGCUUUAGUAACUAGACAACGUUACCUACCGUGCCGAGCACGGUUCAAUUCCCUCGGUCGUCGCUCGUCAAGGUCACCCGUCAACUGCAUUGCCUAGUACUACUACUACCACACCAGGAUGAGCACAAAAUUGAGCCCGUUUGUUCCUGCCUAGUACUUGAGUUAAUAUAUCAGGCAAUGCACUGGUACGGAAGGAUUAUCCUUUUACUCUGCAUAUAAAACUUGUCUGAAGUCUAACUAAGCAAAAUGUUUGACCAAAUUCUUUCUUAAGAAAUACAACAGGACAGAUGUACGGCUUGAAAAUUUAUUGCAUCAUGCAGGUUAUGAUAUUGUUUCAAAUCCUGGAUCUUAAAUUUCAGACAAUCCAAAAGUGAGCAUGAAUUCUUGAAACUUAGCAUGGUCACGUGAUAUGGCACAAAUAUUACUUCGUAAGUUUUUCUUCAAUUUGAGACAAGCUGCUUAUGACAAGUUGCACAAAUGAAGAGCCAAGGUAUUUUGGAACAAAGUCCUGUCACGUUAAGGCGAACGUUUUCACUAUUGAAACCGUGGGCGUUUCAUGCCGCCACGAGUCCCUGCUUCUCAUCGGCAGGUGCCAUCCGAGCUAGCGUGUGAUGAGUAGAUGGGACGCGUGCGAGCAAACCGCUGCACCGGCUGACAGGGAGGCAUGCGAGCAGACCGCUGUGCAGGCUCACCGGGAGGCGAGCCCUUCCCAACUUCUCCCACUUUUAAUGUCGUCGGUGCCGCGGUUUAAAAUCAACCCCGCACUACCCGGUAUCGAUACAAUCUUCUCUCUUCCUCUCCGAUUCUCCUGUCGUCUAUCUCCAACUAGCCUGACCUAACGUACGCCAUGCCGCAUCACGAUGGUCUGCCCUUAGUGUUCCAGUUUCCUGAGGAAGACACCCAGCCGGAGUCUCAAGAACAUAAGGCGCUUUGGGAUGAGCUUGAACUGGCCUUGCGGGAAGAUGCCGCGCAUGUCCCCGCUCCCGUUCCGCCUCCCGUCGCCCCGACUACGCCAGCGCCAACCUGUGGCAUUGAUGGGCUGCAAGCCGCAUAUUGUCGCCGAGCUUGAUCCCACGGGGUUCCAUGAGGUCCCCGCCGACUUUCACGCACCCGUGCACCUGCCAGCGCGUGCGCCUUCGCAUGCACUGACGCGCAUGCUGUGCCGGUGCCCGUGCACCUGCUAGCGCAUGCGCCUGCGUGUGCACUGACGUGCGCGCCCAUGCCGGUGCCCGUGCACACAAAUGUCUCCGCCGCACCGUUGACAGCGCCUGUCCCCGCGCGGGUGUCAAUGCCCUCCUCAGCGGCAUGGAUGGCUGCCGUCGACCGCUUCCUUGCACCAACGCCAGUUGCCUCCUCACUCCAGUUGACUCGCUCCGAAGUCCAGAACAUUUUGGCCUUCCUUGAAGCUAGGCCAACAUCCAGGAGUACACCAACAACGGCGCAAGACGCCGCCGUCGCCGUCCGUCAGUGGCCCGACGACACACAGAGCACGGCAGAGGAGCCGCUUCCCACCGCAAGACGCCCCCGCCACCGCCGCGUAAUCUAAAUUUGCCAUGAAAAACGUUCUGAUUGCCAUGCUUAAAAUACGAACAUUUAUAAUUUCCGUUUAGUUUAUAUCAAUCAUCGUAUAAUUUAAAGUCGGAGUCAGACUGAACAAAAUCUAUGGUUUGAUCGAUUGAAUGUUCUGCUAGAGACGUAUCAAAUUAAAUAUAAGACGUCAUGAAGCCACAUGUAUUCCUUGUCAUCCAACGACCUAGACUGCUUCAAUGUCGAGCGCUCAACACGUUUAGCGUGCAGUUAAUUUCAUGCCAAAAAUAGUGCUAAUCACAUAAUAACACGCAAAUAAUAUCCUACUUAACAUCCGCAUGUACUUAAUAUACUUCCAAAUUAAUGUGCAUUGCACAUACACACUGACUAGUGCCGCUAGUACGUGAAACUGGUGCCGUGACUUGUGAACGCGUUCAGAUAUGGUCAACGGCAACAUCGCCCGCGAGUUCUUCGUGUUUGCCCGUGCGUCUAAACGCAGAAGGGGAGGAGAGAGAGAGAGAGAGCACACAUGGAACCCAAAAGUAAGUGAAGGCGAAUAGUACUAAAAAUAAUAUUACAUGUUAUCCAUUAAAUAGGCUGUGGUAAUAAAAAACAUUAUGUGAACAAAGGGGGUUACAACAAACAUUGCUGUUCUACGUAAGUUGCCUAUUGACGUGCGGCUUGAAGGCCCGGUCGCAUGUUCGAUCCUCGUCCUUUAUUUUAUAAUUUGUAUAUGGGUCCAAAUUUGUUUCAUGACAUGUGGGCCCCUUGGCGUGUAGUUUGUAGCACUUCAAUUUGUGGGUCGAAUUUUGUUCCAUUCCAAGUGGACUAUCGGUGUGUAGUUUUGUAGCUUAUUUAUAAUAAUUAAAGAGAACAACAUAGUUUUUUCUAAUAAUACCAUGGUGCGACGUUGAAGGCGAGAAAGGACGUGUGAGAGAGCGAUGACCGAGCUAGAGGGAAAUUAACUAGGGAAGUUGCGGGGGUUGCAACGGUGUUUGGAGUAGUUGUGGGCCGAAUGCUACGAAAAUAUAAUCUAAACCGAUCGGAAUAAAUGCUUACACAAAUUAUUCCAAGGUUGGAGUGCCACUCGCAAUGUAAAUAGCUCCGGCUUUGCGAGGGAUGGAGAGGUAGUAGCUUCAAUGCGUGGAAGAUACGGUGUGAGAAAGCAAGGUCAAUCGAGAGGCAUAUAGAUAGAGAGACAAACUGAGUGUGGUCCGACAUUCAUUGAACAGAUAUAUAUGCUCUUGAGAGAUAUUGUCCAAUUGAGCUUUUGGCAAGGGUGAGGGCUGUAAGAUAGAGCUUGAGAGAUGAUCCAGUCACAGACGUGUAGAUAUAUUUUGUGCGUGGGAGGAAGCAAGGUCAAUCGAUCACAUAGGGUCGCCGUGCGAUCGAAAGAGUGAGGCGGGUUGGAGAGAGUGACCUAGAUAGACAAUGUGUGUGCGAGAGUAUACAAUGCGAGUAGGUCGAAUUGGGCUCAAACAUGGUGAUAUAUCGUUUUUGUCCGAGAAAGAGCAUGGUCAAUCGAGAUAUGCAGAGAGAGAGAGAUAGAUAGAUAGAUAGAUAGAUAGAUAGAUAGAUAGAUAGAGAGAGAGAGAGAGAGAGAGAGAGAUUGAGUGAGCGUGGCCCGCCAUGAGGUCGAAAGAGUGGCGGCGGCUUGGAUGGAGUGACCUAGAUAGACAAUCUGCGUGAGAGAGUAUAGAGUGUGUCGAUCGAGGCCCAAACAGGGAGAUAUAUCGUAUGUGUAUGAAAGAAAACGAGGUUAAACGAGAUUCAGAUAAAGAGAGCAAGAUUGAGCGAGUAUGGACUGCCGUGUGGAAGAAAGAGUGAGACAAUCUCGAGGGAGUGACCUAGAUAUACAACGUGCAUGUGUGCGCACGAGAGGUUGGGGGGGCUAUAUAGGCAAUGCAUGUAUUUAGCGCGAGAGGGUGAGAGGGAGAGGGGGAGAGAUAGAGAGAGAGAGCUCAACAUGGUGUGCAAUGGCAGGUGUGUGAGGUAAAUACAUUUGGUAACAGAGUGGAAAAAGGGGUUGUGUAGUUGAGAGACUUAGAGAUCGAAACAUGGAGAGAAAGAAUGAACGUGUGUUGGAAACCGAUAGCUUCUUAAGGUGGUAAGAGAGGAAGAUUGACCGAUACAUGAAGUAUGUAGCGUGUGUGUGUGUGUGUGGGGGGGGGGGUGGUUGAAUGUACAUAGUACGAGACUUAACAUCGAUGUUUCAAUUCGGUGUACAUUGUAAGAAUUUAUCCGAGGACCAUGCAUACGAGUAAUUAUUUCGAAUUCGUGCCAUACUAAGUUUCGAAAAGUUGACAUUGACUCAAUUUGUUGUGCUUUAUUGUAGGUCAUAUGUUGAAUCCAUCCAAAAGUUUUCUCACUACCAUGGUGUUCAUCAUAUACAUAUGAAUUUGUAUUAAAAAAGUAGUGUGGAUAUAGUGAAAUGCGAAAUCCACAUUAGAAUUGGAGAUCGCUACGUGACACAAACUCUAAUUCAAAUAACUAAUUAUGUGACACACACUAUAAUCCACGUUAGCGUGGAUACCGUUUCGAUUUUUUUUCAAAUAGCUCAUUAAUUAAUUUAUAGUACUCCCUCUGUUCACUUUUAUAAGACCUUGAAGACAUUUUAGACAAUGUGCAAAACAGUUCAUUAUAAAUUUUCUGAACCGACUUACAAAAGUGAACGGAGGGAGUAUCUCGUUUCGAAUGACUAAUUAUUGCAAGGAAAACACGGGCAUGGUAAUACAUACAAAUUCAUUUGCAAAUGAGAGAAGAUUCGUUUGCAUUCUCAAAUGUAGGCGCACCAGGCAGACCAGGGUCGUGUCGGGGUGGAUGCUGCUUCGGUGCCUUAAGGCACCGAAGCAUAGUCGUGUCGGGGUGGUCGCGUGUGUCCGACGGACGCAUAGCACCCAGCCACCCACCCCCCUCCCUUGUGCCUCCCUCCCCCACUCCCUCCCUCGCCCCCCCAAAAAAAGGAGGACGAUAAAAUAAGUUUGCUCUUCCAUGUUUCGGAUUGAAAUAUCUGGCGGCCCCAAUUCCAGCCCUGCAAAAUCUCUCUUCUCCACCGUCCCCUUUCGCGCCCAGAUUGCUGAAAUCCCUAAUUCGCUGCCAACCCAAGCAAAGUUCGAGUGGCCCCUCGUCUCGUCUCUUUCCCCACCUCUGUGCCGGACGACGACGACGAAGACGACGAUCGCGCUUCACCACCGCACCGGAGCUACCUCAUCUACGCCCUCAUCCACCGCACCGGGUGGUCCACCGACAAUGUCGGCCGCCGCAACCGACGUGCCUCACAGACAUCGAGUUCCAUCGCAUCAGGUGCGCUUCACCGACGCCGUCUCCCACCUCACCGGGGCUACUUCACCAAGCACAUCAUCGCACCUCCGCACCCCCGAGGCCGUUGGGGCUUCACCAACGGUCUCGUCCACCGCAUCGUAGUGCUCCGCUGCCACUCAAGAUCUGCAUCUAUGCACGGCCAGCCAACACCAGCGCAUCACCCUCAACGGCUCUGAAGUGACCCGCACUCUAGCUAGGAGAGCAUUCCCAAACGCCGGCCCGAACUAGGUAUCCACACAUCACUCCCUUGUGCACUAUUCCGACGAUGUUUGGAUAUCCUUUCACUACUCUCUUAGCUUACACGCCUAUGCAACUCUGACUUUAACUCUCAUUUCUUCUGGAGAUAUCAUCUGAAACAAGCAAAUCAAUUUUUUACCGAAGCAUGAUGGUGCUAUGGGAUCUGGUACACAUCCUGCACACCCGUAUAACCUUGUAAGUAUUUGUCCUCCGGUACAACAUCAAGGUCGAUUCCUCUUAUUCGAUCAACCAUUCGCCGUGUCAAAAAUGCAGAGGGGGAUGCAAGGAGCACAAGGCCUGCACAUCCAAGCAAGUGGUAACAUGGACUUGUACAUGGAACAUCCCAAGCGCAAGCAGAGCUGCAGUGAGCCUGUACAACGAGCUAGCGUAAGUCCCUGCAUUUCAUUUAAUUCAUACUGGCAUUCGUGUAUAAUUUGUGUGCAGUGGCGGAUCCACGAAUUCAAGUUACCAGGGUAGAACAUUUAACUUAAAAAAUACGAAGGCACUUGCACUCCGGAAAUCAACAUAACUUGAGAAAUGUGAAGCUACAUGCACUUUGAAAACCAGCUAAUGAUCCAAAGUAGUUCAGAUUAUAAACACUAAAUGAUGCAAGCACCAAAAAACACAAAAUGCAACAUGGUGUACAGGGACUACAAACAUGGUCUGUACCUGCUUGAAUUAUUCGUCUCUGGAUGAAAAUAUCAAAGUGUAAUUGCACCUAUAACCAGUGCGCAAACUGCAUGUCAAUACAUCUAACCUGCACAAGUAUGCCAAUAGUUUCAAACAACAGAUUAGAAAAGUAUUUAUGCUAUGUUGUCAUGAUACGGGGACUUUCUGGUCGAUGGCCUCGACGUUUCCUCAAGCUAUGAAAAUGCACUAUAAUUUGCUUGUCUUCAAUGCCUGCAAAUCUCUAUCUCUCUCAACAUAGCAGAUCAUCAUUAGACACUAAAUCAUUCAAUGAGCUUGCAAAAUGCUUGCACUAGAUCCCUCGUUAGACACUAUAUUUUCAUCACCAGGAGCAUGUAAAAUGUUUGCAUCAAAUCCUUCAUUAGAAGUCCGUUCAUUAGACACUUCAGGCUCAAGAACAACAUGAGCUUGUAUGUUUGCAUCGGAAACUUGAUUAGAUACAUCAGAUUCAGUUAGUUCAGUAUUGAUUAGGGGAGUUAUAAAAUAAGUAGAAAUUGGUUUCAUUUCUCAUAGAUUCCCUACAUACAAGCAGUUUUACAACACCGUCAGGUUUAACUAUUGGCCAGAAAUUGAAUAGUUGAAUUAGAUAUAAUCAGGGAUGUGAUGUACCUGCUCGUUGCGCAUGCUACUCUUGCAAGCUACGACUGUCUGUUUGCGCAAGCUCGAUGCCAUGCCCGUGCUGCCGUCGCUGCCUCCCACGCAGGCUACACCCAGGGUUGGAUCUUCAUCUUCUUGUCCUUCCGUUCGCUUGAAGCCCAACGACCGCCCUCUAACGAGGGCGCGAGGAAGUGCUGUGUCGGUCUAUCCAACCACGGCUAGGUUAGGAGCGAACCAGACUGGAGGCUGGAGCGAAUCAAUUGGGAUUUUUCCUGCUGUCGAUCGAUAUGGGAGGCGCUCGUUUGGGCCGCGAGCCUGCUAUAUGGCUUGCCUUGCACUUAUGUUAUUGGCCCAUCCAAAUUGAAACAUUUUUCUUCAUUUUUUACAUUGGCUGCUCGUGCGUUGGUACAAACCAAACUAGCCUGGGCCAACCUGGAUGACUCAAACUAGGUGCACACUUUCCAGCCACCUGAGGCGGCCGCCUAUACCAGCCCCUAUGGUGGCGUCGCCCCUUUUUGCGUGUAUGAUUGGGUAGUGAAAAAUAUUCCAUUGGCGCUUUUGAUUUACCCACAUAAUGGUUGAAUUGCUUGUUUCUAUGAACUGAGUUCACCAAUAAUGUGAAGGAUGUCAGUCUUUUCAUCCUAUUGUAGAUUGCUUAGAUCUCGAUAUGCCAAAUGUAAUCACAUGAAAUAUACAGUAAAAGCCAUUGUGAUGUGUGUGGCUACAACUAGUCUGACUACACGUCCUCAUAUAACAUAUCAAGGACGCAUAAUCUUACCAGAUUAACAAAUCGAAUUACCAAUGCAGUGUGGGAAGAAAGAAGAAUUGGGACUGCGUAUCCUAGCAAUUGAUGCCAUGGACUCCUUCGUACAACCUUGUAAGCGAAAAAGAAGUUGCAGUGUGCCUGUACAAAGAACUAGCAUAAGUUCAGUUACCUGCUUCUCGGAAUUUUAGUUAGCCACUUAUUGCAAAAUUGUUCAAUUACGUUGCUUGGCUUAAUUUAGUUUGCUACUGAUUACAUAAUGCAACAUCCUGUUAAUCAUAUUGUAGACUGCGCCUAUAUAUGUGUUUGAUACUUACUGUUAAGAAUUACCUGUUUGCCUUAACUUAAAUAUCUACUUGUUUGUUUAACUGCUUUGUUGCUGCAACAGCGGGUUACAAUGAUGUUAAUAACUACUUUUCAGCAUCCAAUUGAAACUCUUUAAUUCGUGGUUUGUUUAACUGGUUUGCUGUUAUAACUCCCAGUUGAGAUGUUUUGCUAACUUCAACUUUUCUGAAUCCAAUCGGAACUUUAAUGGCAAAACAGGUUAGCCCAAGAUCAAAGAGCGAGGUCACCAUGGACAUUGCAUCAUCCCACAGCAGUGGCACUAGCCCAAUCGUGCAUUAUGAAUUGCCAACUGCUGAUGCUCUAGAGGCUAAACUAGUGGUAGAAAGGGAUUCUGCUUCUGCACUUAGAGAUGAAGUUGACAUGUUGAGGAAGCAACCAGCACAAUCACAAGCCGUACUAAAGACAACCAUUAAAUAUUUGGUGGAUUUCAAAACGAAGCAAGCUGAGACUGACCAGAUUGUUAAGGUCCUGAAGGAAAAAAGGAAAUUAAAUUCCUACUUGGUAAAUCAUAGGUGAAAUGUUUUUUCCAUCGUUGAAUAACCUUUGUGUUGUCUAUUCAUGUAAUCAAUCAAACCAUUUGUUUUAGAGAUCUUGUAAUAAUUGUCUUUUUUUGUUUUUUGGUUUGUAAUUUUAUUUGAGCACAAGUCUGUAUUAAUCGAUAAGACUCGGAGACAUUUCAUUUGGAUUGCUGUGCCAGACCUACAAAUAUGCCAAUCGGGCUGAAUGUGCAUUCAACAAUAGUAGUAGUAUAGAUGGACCAUAAGUGGCACGCAUCAGAAAGGGCCAAGAUGCUGGCUAAAAAAGGAUGUUGUUGUAGCCAAAAAAAAGUACAUCGGCCUGGCUUAUGUAUGUUAGUUGAUAUUAUUGAUCCAUAUACUCUAUAAGUGUUUAUAUGUCUGUUAGUUCUGUACAUUCUUGGUUGAUUGACUCGGUAUUUGAAUCUUGAUACAUCGCUUGUGUACAUAUCUAAAUGGGAGUACACAUUAUGCUGCGUGUGACAUUUGAGUUGGACAUGAAGUGUUCCAAAUAUUCGAAUUCACCUUAAACUCGAUUCUAGCUUCUGAAUUUGAGUAUCCGCAUUUGUAAACCAUAUUCAUAUAUGACAGUGGAAUGCAUCUUUGUCGUCCUUUGAAGAUAUAUAAAAACACGUAGAAUGAUUUAUAAAGAUUGAUAUAAGAAUACAAAAUGGAUUCAAAUUUAGUUGCCAGGGUAAACGUGGAUGCUUAUUGUCCCAAAAUUCGAAAGAAGUGGAAAAAUGUCCACUCCCAUAUCGGCUGCCCGAAGCCAAGUGUUUGGGAGAUGGAAAUUACUGUCUACCCAUUACAUGGACAAUCCAUCCGCCCGAUUUCCACUGCUCUAAAUAGGGGUAGCUUAGUAAUUUCAGUUAGAUGUGACACGACCGCCUCUGAGCCCAUUCCGACACGGUGGGCGUCAAACAUGGGCAGAAAAACACAUUUGAUUCAAGCUCAUCCGAAAGACCUCUGUUUCUCCCUCCAUUCCCCAUUCAUACACGGUGGGCGGCAAAACAAACUCGACUCGGCCGAAAUCGAUGUUGGCAAAUAUUUUCAAUAGGGGCAGGUUUGUAACUUCACUAAGACGUGACACAACCGCCCUACCUGUCAGCCUCGUUCAUACACCGUGGGCGCCAACCAUGGGCGCCAACCACCCUCUCCUCGCCCGAAAUUGCUCUAGGCAAAUAUUGGCGAGAUGCGAGAUUACCGUCCUAUCCCCAACCGACGAGACGUCCAAAUUUUAAAUGGGGGCUAAGUUCGUAACUUUCCCAUAUUUCAGACAUGCGCGUCCCAAAAACAUGGUUCCCCGUACCUCUCCCUCCAUUUUCCGAUUCAUACACCGUUCGCGCUAGAACACCCCAUCCCCACAGGAGCCUCCGUCCGCCACCCCAUCCAGCGCCGCCGUCCUCCAACACAUCCAUCGCCACCGUCUUUCACCAUGCCAGAGCGCCUACCAAGACCGCGUCGUCCACUGCUAGAGAUGGACAUUUCUCAUCCAUGGUGAUGAACCAAUAGCCUUGCAUCGUGUCCUCUCGCUUCAUCGGCGCCGUCGUCCUCCUUGCCGGGGCCGCUGACACGACCUUCUCUUCCACCGCAACGGGACUUAUCCCCCGAUGCAACCAUCUACGGUCGCAGAUCUGCUUCAACGCCACCGACAGCCAUCGCACCCCGGAUGCCUACACGGCACCGCAAGAGAGGUGGUAUGUCAUAUCUCCUCAAGUUUUUGAUCUCAACCAGAAAAUAGAUCUUAACUUGGUUGCUCUACUUUCUUUUCAGCUCUUAGAAUUUAGUUCUUAGUUCGAAGCAAAAAAUGGAUGCUAAAUAUCAUUUCUUCAGUUUGCAGCUUCAAAUCUGCGAUGCAUAGCCAUAAUAUGGUUUAAUUGAUCAUGCUUAGGGUUUAAUUGAUCAUGUUGGUUCUGUGGUGGUUUCUUUAAUAGAAAUCUGAGGGAAACCCUCUUUUGCUAAAAAAAUAUGCUUAGAGUUUCCCCCUUUUAUGAUCACUAUACGAUCAGAAUACGUGCUUCGUGUCAUAAUAACACUACUCCACCCAUCAAGCUAAACAGGCUUAGUUGUUCAAAUACGAAUCUGAUAUUAUUAAAACAGAUUUCUUUAAUUGGUCAGCUAAAUGUUCCUAAAUUAGUUUCAAAAAUGCAUGUUUGCCGCUUGGGUGUGUAUCUCUACAGGGUGCCCACGGUAGGCCGGCCCACCCUGGGAUUUUGGGUCAUCCCAGGCCCCGAUUCCCCUCUGUUCUGCUGCGCGCUUCCGAUCUCUACUCGCCCCCAGCCGCCUGCCUCGCUGGUGACUUGCCAUCCCCGGACGGCAUGACUCUACGAGGAGACGCCGGACUAACAGGAGGCCAGGAGCCGCUCGCCCAACAGCGUCACCGCCGCCCGAGAGCGCAGCCAUGCCUACCUUCCCAGUCCGUUCAGGGCUCAGGCAUGCAGCACCCAGCAAGCCAACCCGGUUUAUCCUGAGAUAUUUCCUCAACACUCAGCAACCACUCCUCAUCACCCAUUUUCUAAUUGAUUCAUUACUCAUUAGGCAGGACUGUCAUUAGGGUUUGUUGUGUGCUUAGUGCUACCUACACUUACUGGUUCAGAUGUAUUUCUGUAAUCUUUAGUACCUCUAAAGUUCACAGGGUUUUCAAAAUUCCGGCCCUCGGAAUAGAUACUAGUCAUUUCGGAUUGUUGGUCGUAGUGACAUUGACCUAGAUUACUACUGCAAGGCAGGUUUGUUGACAAUUUUACUUGUCUUUCUUACUCAUUUGAUAUAAUAUCCAAUUAUUCACGUCGAUUAGUUGCAAAAAAUAAGUGCUAGACAAACUUCUUCAUUUAGAUUUUGGACGGUCUCUUACUGCAGUUACAAUUCUGCAUACUUGUCCUAGUAAGCUCACAAGUAAAUGAUUGAUUCACUACAUCUAUGCUUGCCUUUUCAUAUUUGUUAUCAAUAUUCUUUUAGGGUGGACCACCCUGUUUGUAAAUACUGGAACCAUAGACAUGAGUGAAUAGUAUUUCUCUAUGUGAUCUCUUCCAUCAUGUGUGGGCAAUGAACACGGCAUUGUAUAGAAAGAAAGUGGCAUUUCCCGCUUUUACAUAGGUUUCGAUCUUUUACAUGGAAUACAAUCUGCCUACUUGCUUUGUGUCGCACUACCAACACUCCACCCUUGAAGCUAAACAUUAUGCCACUCAUACUUGCUUAGUUUAUUUGUUCAAAUACGAAUUUCAUAUAAUUCUAAUGUUCCUACUUUAGUUUUGAAAUGUGUGCCUGCCAGUUAUAGAGACAUAAGGGGUUUGUAUUUCUGUGUGUGGUCUGGUCAGCAUGGUUGGGGGGGUGAACUUUGCAUCUGCAGGGGUUUAUAGGGAGACACUCUUCGAGUUGAAUCCGCUAUGCAUUCCAUAGAUAAUCUGAGUACUUUUUAUGUUUUCAGGAAUAUCAGAUUAUGAACAACAUCAUAAUGAUUAUGAGCUUGCGCGCAUGAAAAGAAUAGAGCAGAACAAUGCCAUGGCUGUCAAACUUGGCAUUAAGGGACUGAAAUCAAGUCUGGAUGCAAUGCAAUGCAAACGCUCUCCACCUAUAGAUUCAUGCGCAGAAUAUGAUCCUAACAGUGAUUCUGAGCUAGAGGGAGACCUAAGUCAAUGUAGCUCCCUAGUGGAGGAGUCAGAGGAAGAUGCCCUAUCUUAUUCACCCAUCAAGGUACUUGCUCUAACUUUCCAAGGUAACAUUGCUCGCACAUAUCUUGCAACUGAUGCUUUGCAUUGCUUCUACUUUGUUGAACUGCCAUUAGCUUAGUUUACACAUCGUGUAUGUGAAUAUGCCCUGCCUAUCCAUUUUCAGUACAUAUUCCAUCUAUCAUCAUAGCAUAUUUAUCCAUUCAAAUGUUGUUCUUGUGUAUCAGACGUUCAAAAGGAAGAGGGCGAUUGCUGAUCGUGGAGGAGCACAAGCAAAGUAUUUGGAAAAGGUAGUGGCACCUGAUAAAUCAAAUAGCCCAUUAGGUGUAGUUGCAAUAUCACCAGACCCACAAAACACCCCAACUCUAGCAGACUCUAGCCCUACUACACUGGUCAUUUCUGAUGCCCCAACUUAGCAGACCCCAACUGCAGCAAACAGUAUGAUUAUGCCAGUUGACAUAGCACCAGCUCUACGACACGAAACCCCCAUUCCAGCAAAGAGUACACCAAAUCCAGUUGCCAAAUCCCCUUUUGAACCAGAGAGAGCCCCAAUUGCAGCAAAUAGGACCCUUGUUCCAUUUCUUCCCAGUUUAGAAGAUGAAGCUUAGGUUGUUGUCAGAAACUUUGUGCGCAUCUUUCCUUCAUGGAAAGAUUAUACCGCAGACACCGAACAAUUUCCAGUCUUCCUCCGCAACUUACGCGUAAGUAAUGUACUAAUGUUAUUCAUGGUCAUUACUGCAUAUGUUUCUGCUGACAGAAGACACAAGACUUCAUUCUUUUAAAUAGGCAAGGAGCAAACUAGAUUGUGAAGACGAGCAAGGGUUGGUUGCGCUUUUCAAGCACUCGUUGAUGAAGUAUCGUUCCUACUUGAGGCAAUCGCACUUUGAUGGCAAGCCUCUGAAUGAAAUUUCUGUAAAGUCUCCGGUGCUACAUUUAUCCGACGGUGACUGGAAUAAUCUUGUUACACAUUGCUCUCGGCUGCAGCAUAAGGUACUGUCUAUGCUAUCACAUCACAAUUUGAACUACAUUUCUGCAUUUUCCUUAAUGUCUCACUUGUACGAAAACUAUUAGCAGAAGAACAUUCGUUCUCAAGGGACCACAGAAUCUCGCAACUAUACUGCACACUGCAUUGCUCUUGUGAGUACCUCUUACCCUAUAUGACCAUACUUACUUUCAGAGCUGUUUGAUUAUGUAGCAUCACUGCACAUGUUAGCCUUGUAAUCGUCCAUUUGGUGGACAUUAUAAGAUCCGUAUGGACUCUUACAUAAAUUUAGAAUCAACCCAAUGCUUUUGAAGAGGUUUAGCUCUGCAGUCCUCUUGUAAGGACUAAACAUGGUCUAUCACUGUACUUACAUUAACAGUUACUCCCUCCGUCCCAUAAUAUAAGAACGUUUUGUACAGUACACCAGUGUUCAAAACACUUUUGUAUUAUGGGAAGAGGGAUUGGUUCAUUGUGUAGCAUUCUGCAUCUUAUCUCCCCCGCCCUCCAUUUACUAAAAAAGAUCAGAUCUAUAUUUAAUCUUACCAACAAGUAGAAUACAGACAAUGCCAGUGCAGAAGUGUAGCCCAUUGCUCUUGUCAGUACAUUUUGUCCUGUAACCUUUGUACUUCCAGGGCUUGGUAGUUGAUUAUGUAGCAUCAAUCUGUACCUUAUCUUCAUUAUCCUCUAUCCCUUCCAGUAUUAUCAUAUCUAUAAUUACUCUCAACAAAAUGUAGAGUACAAGCAAUGCUUAUGAAGAAGAUUCUCAAUUGAAAUUCUUGAGUUAUCCUUCCCUUGACAUGGAGAAGGGCAUUAUAAAGCCGGUGUCAACUGUUAAUGUAAGUCAGUCCUUCUAAAGCCUUUAUCCUCAACUGCUGUUUAAUUUGCUCAUACUCCCUACCGUUUAUUGCUGUUUAGUUUGCUGUUUCUACCAAAAUGCAUGUUCGCAAGAACCGUAAGUUCUAAGUUUUACUUGUAAAACCAAAUUCAUUAUUCAUACCAUGCACAUUACUUAAUACUCCCUAUAUGUAUGCUUUUUUUUGUGGAUCUAUAAUCCAGUUUGUGGUGAAGCAGCCCACGUUUGCACCUUGUCAUCUCCUGUUUUAUCUUACUGAUGUGGCUGAUGAUAUGAACAACAUGCCAUGCACAUUAUCCAAAAUAGAUACAAUGAUUUUCUUUGCCCUUCAUCUAAGCUUGUUAUGUUGACAUGGUAAUCCAGUAGUGUGGUGAAGCUCCCCGCAUUAUGAACAAUGCCAAAUUAUGCUAUUGAUAUUUUGAACUUACUCUUUAUUUUCUAAUUUGAAAUUGGAUGGAAUUGACAGCAAAGUUAUCAUCUUUGUUUAUACACGUGCAAAACCUGUCAUCUCUCUGCUUUGUUUCAGGGUGAUAUGCCUGAUGGCAUGCACAAGUCUGCUGAAGGCUGUGAGACAAACCCAACAUAUAUUGCAGCAAAGAAGGCAAAACAUCUCGAAGAUAGUGAGACAACCCCAAAGCCUUGUCUUGAUGUAGUGUUCAAGUUACUUGAGACUAGCAGUCAGACAAGCUCACAGAAUUCGUUGUCUGAAUCAGUUCGACUUCUUCAGUCCCAAGUUCUAGCAGAAAGGCAUUCUGCAAUUCAACUUCGACUUGAAGUCCUAUCUCUAAGAAAGAUUGCGGAUAACACCAAUGAGAACCUCAUCACUAAACAGCUACACCUGGAAGCUAUGACCGACAUGCUAGGCUGGUCUCACAAACUUGCUCAGCAGCUUGCACAGCAGUUCCCCGGCAAGGCUAACCUUUCUUGAACUAUCUUGGAAGUGGUCUCGGUUCAGUAUUAUUUUAUUACGCUGCAAUGGUGCCAAGUUUUUGUAAUCUGCUUCUUCGUUGCACUUUAUGAUCACAAGUGGCGAACUUCGAUGCCCAGUGGAUGCAAUAUACCUUAAAUCCUUUAUUGUAUAGUGUAGGUUUAUUCUUAGUUACUAUGUCGUAAUUUCUUUAUUGUAUAGAAUAGGUUUGUUCUUAAUUCCUACUAGUUACUGCCAUCAUUCGCUAUCUGAAAAAAAAUCAGAUGUAGUCGACCGGGCCGAAACAUUCGACUCUAACGGGCCUGGUUUUUAGCGGACCACAAUUGGGCCGGCCUGCGUCUUUCUUGGGCCCGAAUGAUUGGGGCCUUCACACAUUGCGCCAGGCCCAAACUUACACCGGCCUAUAUUUUAGUUGGGCCUUUUGUCGACCUAGCGCUUAGUUUGGCCUAGGUAGCGUUUGGCCAUUAACAGGCUGAAUAUUAUAUUGGCCUGUUACGGCCGAGAUGAAACCACGGGCCUUUAGCAGGCCAAAAUGCAUGUUGGGCCUCAAUUUUCACUAGUCGUCGACGGGCCUUCAGCAGGCUGAAAUGUAGACCGGGAGUUUUUGGGCCCAGUUAGCUCACGGGCCGUUACCAGGCCAAAACAUAUCUCGGGCCUUAGUUGGCCCACUGAUAUCAUGGGCCUUUAAGAGGCCAAAAGCUUAGUACAGGCAUCAACGGGCCGAACUACGCGAGAGGCCUUUAACAGGCCCAAAGUAACGUUGGGCUUAACUGUUGCCUCCUUUAGCACGGGCCGUUAGUGGGCCCGAUGUCCCGUCGGAUCAUAUAUGGCCCAUGGGCAGCACAGGCCAUUCCUAGGCCGAAAUUCUCACUGGGCUGAAGUGGGCCCAUGUCUACAUCAGGCCUCUAACAGGCCGAAAGUCACACCGGGCUGAAAUGGGCCCAUGUCUACAUCAGGCCUCUAACAUGCUGAAAGUCAAUGGGCCGUAGUUGGGCCCAAAUACUUGGCGAACAAUUAACGGGCCAGAUCUGGCUUCGGGCCGCAAAUGGGCCCAAUUAUUGGGCGAACAAUUAACGGGCCAGAUCUGGCUUCGGGGCGUAAAUGGGCCCAAAUUUUGGCCAAACAAUUAACGGGCCAGAUCUGGCUUCGGGCCAUAAAUGGGCCUUUAUUAAGCAGGCCGUUAUUGGGCUGGCCCACUAGUACCUGAUUAAGUACUAUGAGCCUUUGACUGGGCCGGCCUUUUUAACCUAUAUGGGCCUCUGUUGGGCCCCGCCACGUCUCGACGUAUCAUAGGCAUGUCUCCUCCAAUGGACGGGCGACAUCUGGACCACUAACGAGCUGACAGGUGUUCCCUUCGGCCAAUCAGAAUUUUACACAUGGAAAAUCCCCAUUGGUCGGGGCUGUUAACGGGUUAUCGGAUCCAAAACCCGACCCGAUAGCUUAAUGGUGUUCCAUUACGGUGGAUGCCACAUGUCGAUCACCCUUGACGAAAGCACUUCUGUGACGUGCGAUUUAUCGUCAUGGAAGUGGACACUUCCGUGAUGAUAAUUUUGGUAAUGUCAUGGAACACUUCUACGACAGCACAUGUAUGACUAUCUUGAUUCUGUCAUAAAAUUGUCAUGGAUGUACAUGCAUGACAGAAAACGUGCCCUACUGUGACAAAUACGUAUCAUCACGGAAGUGUAUUUUUUUGUAGUGAGAGUAGAGGGGGAUAAACAUCAUAAGAUCAACCUAUAAUAGCAAAGCUCGCGAUACAUCAAGAUCGUGCCAUAGAGAGAAGAUGAGAGAGAUAGAGAGAUAAAAAACAUAGCUACUGGUACAUACCCUCAGCCUCGAGGGUGAGCUACUCCCUCCUCAUCAUGGAGAUCACUGGGAUGAUGAAUAAGGCCACCGGUGAGGGAUCCCCCAUCCGGCAGGGUGCUGGAACAGGGCCCCGAUUGACUUUUGGUGGCUACAGAGGCUUGCAGCGGCGAAACUCCCGAUCUAUCUUCGUUAUCGAUGUUUUUAGGGUAUGUGGGAUUAUAUAGGUGAAAGAAGUCGGUCGGGGGGGGGGUGCUCGAGGGGCCCAGGAGACAGGGGCGCACCCUAUGCGGGGGCGCCCUCCUGUCUCCUGGCCUCCUUGAAGCUUCCCUGGAUUGAACUCCAAGUCUCCCGGAUCAUGUUCGUUCUAAAAAUCACGCUCCCAAAGGUUUCAUUCCGUUUGGACUCCGUUUGAUAUUCCUUUUCUUCGAAACACUAAAAUAGGCAAGAAAACAACAAUAUGGGCUGGGCCUCCAGUUAGUAGGUUAGUCCCAAAUGUAAUAUAAAAGUGUAUAAUAAAUCCCAUAAUCAUUCAAAACAGAUAAUAAAAUAGCAUGAAUGCUUCAUAAAUUAUAGAUACCUUGGAGACGUAUCAGCAUCCCCAAGCUUAAUUCCUGCUCGUCCUCGAGUAGGUAAAUGAUAAAAGAAAGAAUUUAUUAAGUGUGGAUGCUAGCAGGUGCACAAGUUUGAUCAAUAAUAAUUUCAAUCACCUUUUCUAGCAUGUUUAUAUUUCAUAACAGCAUUGUUGAGGAAAUCGUUAACUGGUAGCUGCUCGAUUGGCUGGCGAGUAGGGGAUUAAUAGGCUAAUCGGCAAGUUAAUCGGCCAUUUAAUCAAUUAAUUGGACGAUUUAUCGGUUUAUCGGCUACUCGGUGACCCUACGAGUAGGGAUUAAUUGGCAAGUUAACUGGUUAACCGAAUGAAUUCUCGAACAGGGCAUAACAGUAGUUCAUCUCAUAAAACUUUUCAUGAUAAAGUAACAAGCUAUUCACAUGUGAAAGCAUAGACUAUAAACUUUCUUGAAAUCUAGAAAACUUCAUUCUCAGUCAUCAAACAAUUGCAAUUCAUCUUAUUUUCAGGAAGGGUCUAUGUCAGAGCUUUGAUUUAGCAAACUCCACAUACUCAACUAUCAUAUAGUCUUCUACAAUUGCUAACACUCACACAAUACUUGUGGUUAUGGAGUUUUAAUCGGAGACUGAGAAAGAUAGGGGCUUAUAAUUUCGCCUCCCCACAUAUUCACCUUUGGGUGAUGUCAACAAUAAUAGUUCAUGCUAACUUACAUUCAAUUGGAUAUAUAUAUAUAUAUAUAUAUCAGGUUCACCCCAAAACAAAGUGCUUGCCAAAGGAUAAAAUGAAAAUGGGAAAGGUGAAGAUCACCUUGACUCUUGCGUAAAGUAAAAUACAAAAAGUAAAAGAUAGGCCCUUCGCAGAGGGAAGCAGAGGUUGUCAUGCGCUUUUAGGGUUGGAUACACAAAAUCUUAAUGCGAAAGAAUGUCACUUUAUAUUGCCCCUUGUAUAUGGACCUUUAUUAUGCAGUCCCUCGCUUUUAUUGCUUCCAUAACAAGAUCGUACAAAGCUUAUUUUCUCCGCACUAAUAAGUCAUGCAUAUUUAGAGAGCAAUUUUUAUUGCUUGCACCGAUGACAACUUACUUGAAGGAUCUUACUCAAUCCAUAGGUAGGUAUGGUGGACUCUCGUGGCAAAAACUGGGUUUAAGGAUAUUUGUAAGCACAAGUAGUAUCUCUACUUGGUGCAAGGAAUUUUGGCUAGCAUGAUGGGGAAAGGCAAGAUCAACAUGUUUAUAUGAUCCAUGACAAUAUACUUUAACUGAGAUGUGAGAAAACAUAACCCAUUACGUUGUCUUCCUUGUCCAACACCAACUCUUUAGCAUGUCAUACUUAAUGAGUGCUCACAAUUAUAAAAGAUGUCCAUGAUAGUAUAUUUAUAUGUGAAAUCUCUCUUCCUUCAAUAUUCUUAUAUGAAUUGUUCAAAUGACCAAUACAAUGCUUGCUAACCUCCAAUAAAUUUACAACCUCUACUUCUUAGAUGUGAAGUCAUUACUCCCCAUGGGUUAAGCAAAUUCGAGAUAUAUAAUUUCAGAUUUAUGACAUUCAACUCAUUCAACCAUUUACUCAUAGGAUAUAAGUGAAGCACACGAGUAAAUGACAAACUACUCCAAAAAAGAUAUAAGUGAAGAUCAAUGAGUAGUUAAAUAAUUAUGCAACUAUGUGAAGACUCUCUCUCAUUUAAGAAUUUCAAAUCUUGGUAUUUUAUUCAAGCAACAAGCAAAACAAAGCAAAAUUACAUUGCAAGGAUAGCACAACUCAUGUGAAGAAGCAAAAACUUAGGUUCAACCGAUACUAACUGUUAAUUGUUGAAGAAGAAGGGUGGGAUGCCUACCGGGGCAUCCCCAAGCUUAGAUGCUUGAUACUUCUUGGAAUAUUAUCUUGGGGUGCCUUGGGAAUCCCCAAGCUUGAGCUUUUGUGUCUCCUUAAUUCCUUUUAUAUCACGGUUUCCCUAAAUCUCAAAAACUUCAUCCACACAAAACUCAACAAGAACUCGUGAGAUAAGUUAGUAUAAAACAAUGCAAAACCUUAUAAUUUUCUACUGUAACAAAUUACUAACAUUAUUAUUCAACAUUGAAUAUUAAAUGUCUCUGCAUAUUUAAUACUCCUAUCCUCAAAUAGAAUCAUUAAACAAGCAAGCAUAUGCAAACAAUGCAAACAUAACAGCAAUCUGCCAAAAUAGUAUAGUCUGUAAAUAAUCCAAGAUUCAUCAUACUUCCCUAACUCCAACAAUUAUAAGAAAAAUACUAAGAUGUAGAAGAUUUAUCAGAGCUCAUUAUGCAAAAAGAUUCAACAUUAUAUCAUUCUCUGACUUUUCUAGGGAAUUUUUGAAACAGCGGUAAACUUUCUGUUUUCAAACAGCAACAUGUAUACUUAGCAAAAUAAGCAUGGAAAAGGCUAUCCUUGACAUUUUUAUCGAAAAUAGAGAUUCCAAACAAUACUAACAAAAUAAAAUCACUCUCCAAGCAAAACACAUAUCAUGUGGUAAAUAAAAAUAUAGCUCCAAGUAAAGUUACCGAUGAACGAAGACGAAAGAGGGGAUGCCAUCCGGGGCAUCCCAAAGCUUAGGCUCUUGGUUGUCCUUGAAUAUUACCUUGGGGUGCCUUCGGCAUCCCUAAGCUUAGGCUCUUACCACUCCUUAUUCCAUAGUCUAUCGAAUCAUUACCCAAAACUUGAGAACUUCACAACACGAAACUCAAAACAAAACUCGUAAGCUCCGUUAGUAUAAGAAAAUAAAUCACCACUUACGUACUGUAAUGAACUCAUUCUUUAUUUAUAUUUGUGUUAAACCUAAUGUAUUCCAACUUCUGUAUGGUUCAUACCCUCCGAUACUACUCAUAGAUUCAUCAAAAUAAGAAAACAACACAAUGAAAAUGGAAUCUGUCAAAAACAGAAUAGUCUGUAGUAGUCUGUGUCAAACGUAUACUUCUGGAACUCCAAAAAUUCUGAAAUAAAUUGUUGGACCUGAGGAAUUUAUCUAUUAAUCAUCUGCAAAAAGAUUCAACCUAAAUGCGCUCUCCAGUAUAAAAAUGGCAGCUAAUAUCAUGAGCGCUAAAGUUUCUGUUUUCUACAGCAAGAUCAUAUAGACUUCACCCAAGUCCUCCCAAAGGUCCUACUUGGCACUUUAUUGAAACAAAACAUAUAAAACGUGAUUACUACAGUAGCAUAAUCAUGUGAACACACAAAAAUAGUAAGGGUAAAUAUUGGGUUGUCUCCCAACAAGCACUUUUCUUUAAUGCCUUUCUAGCUAGGCAUGAUGAUGGCAAUGAUGCUCACAUAAAAGAUAAGAGUUGAAACAUAACGGGAGCAUCAUGAAGAAUAUGACUAGCACAUUUAAGCCUAACCCACUUCCUAUGCAUAGGGAUUUUGUGAGCAAACAACUUAUGGGAACAAUAAUCAAUUAGCAUAGGAAGGUAAAACAAGCAUAGCUUCAAAAUAUUAAGCACAUAAAGAGGAAACUUGAUAUUAUUGCAAUUCCUACAAGCAUAUGUUCCUCCCUCAUAAUAAUUUUCAGUAGCAUCAUGAAUGAAUUCAACAAUAUAACCAGCACCUAAAGCAUUCUUUUCAUGAUCUACAAGCAUAGAAAUUUUACUACUCUCCACACAACAAAAUUCUUCUUACGAAUAAUAGUGGGAGUAAACUUAACGAAAUAACUAUCAUGUGAGGCAUAAUCCAAUUGAAAACUAAAAUCAUGAUGACAAGUUUCAUGGUUAUCAUGAUUCUUAAUAGAAUACAAGUCAUCACAAUAAUCAUCAUAUAUAGCAACUUUAUUCUCAAAAUCAAUUGGAACCUCUUUCAAAAUAGUGGAAUCAUCACUCGAUAAAGUUGACACUCUUCCAAAUCCACUUUCAUAUUCAUCACAAUAAGAUUCAACAUCCUCCAAAAUAGUGGGAUCAUUACUUUAUAAAGUUGACACUCUUCCAAACCCACUUUCAUCAAUAUAAUCAUCAUAAAUAGGAGGCAUGCUUUCAUAAUAAUAAAUAUUCUCAUCAAAACUUGGGGGACAAAAAAUAUCAUCUUCAUCAACCAUAGCAUCCCCAAGCUUGUAGCUUUGCAUAUCAAUAGCAUCAUAGGUAUUCAAAGAAUUCAUACUAAUAACAUUGCAAUCAAGCUCAUCAUUCAAAGAUUUAGUGCCAAAUAUUUUAUAGAUAUCUUCUUCUAGCAGUUGAGCACAAUUUUCCUUACCAUCAUUCUCACGAAAGAUAUUAAAAAGAUGAAGCGUAUGAGGCAAACUCAAUUCCAUUUUUUGUAGUUUUCUUUUAUAGACUAAACUAGUGAUAAAACAAGAAACAAAAAGAUUCGAUUGCAAGAUCUAAAGAUAUACCUUCAAGCACUCACCUCCCCAGCAACGGCGCCAGAAAAGAGCUUGAUGUCUACUACACAACCUUCUUCUUGUAGAUGUUGUUGGGCCUACAAGUGCACAUGUUUGUAGGAAAGUAGCAAAUUUCCCUCAAGUGGAUGACCUAAGGUUUAUCAAUCCGUGGGAGGCAUAGGAUGAAGAUGGUCUCUCUCAAAUAACCCUGCAACCAAAUAACAAAGAGUCUCUUGUGUCCCCAACACACCCAAACACUACAAGAAACCUGUUAAUCGAUGACAGUCCCAAGCUGUCAGGGGUCAAUGAAAAACCGUCGUGGAUGCGCAAACGUGACGGACAUGAAAUCUGUCAUGUAUGUCGCAUCAUAAUUUAGCACAAUACCUUCCUUGACGGUUUUUGGCCGUCAUAGAUCUGUCACUAGGCCCGCCGGGACCAAGAUUCCAUGACAGACUAAGCCGUCACAGAUUUACAUGACCUGGUAGCAGCAUGGACCUAAAAUGGCGUCUACGUGGAUCUGACGUGGUAGCCAACAUGACCCAUGUAGUAACCAGCCCAAUUAAGGUUUUAGCCCAAUAAUUUUGGUCCAGUCCAACCCAUUAGCCACUUACUUCAGUUCUACCCAUUAGAAUACCUAUUCUUUUAGUCCAACCAUUAGCCCAUUUUUUGUCCAGCGUGAUUUUUCAUGCGACCCAAUUUGCAACAAGACAAAUUUCAUUCACACAAUAGCAUCUGGUCGAAAGAAAAUAUAAACUUCCAACAAUCUAGACUGAUUUCUGAAAACAAAUAUUUGUAUCAAAACAUCACAUACAUAUCUAGAAAGAACUAUAAGCAUUAUUUUUAAAAAUUUCGAGUAAAUAUACUACUAGCUGGAUUUAAUCUCCAACACUACACCACUAAUGCUUCCAGGUAGUUAUUCGAGGCCAAGUAAUUCCUGCUAAAAAC
rnacentral:lncRNA from 1 species